CUUCAUAGUCUUUACCACAUUAUUGACUUACUAACUACAAUUUAUCCAUGCACAUUGCACAGGGUGGACUUGGUGGCGCUCAAGCAUUUGCGAAGUCAGAUAAAUUGGUGAAUAUGCUAAAGAAGCAAAAGGAAUCAAAUAGACCUUAUGGUGCUAUAUGUGCAUCCCCAGCUUUAGUGUUGGAGCCCCAUGGCUUACUCAAGGUACGACCGUUUCUGCUUAAAUUAUUUACUCAGAUUUGGAUCACCCAAUCUGAACUUGAUGAAGGAUUAUGAUGUUGUGUGAUUUUAUGAAUGUGGUCGUAUCUCAUGUAAGUCAGUGAUGAAUUAAUUGGAGUUUGCUGACAAAUUAGAAACUGAAAAACUGCUGCUGCUUCAUUAGUUACAUUACCCAAAGAGUUAAAAUAAACAUCCCAAAUUUUGUCCCAAAUUCUGUCCCAAAUGAUAUGGCAUUUAUUGAGUGAUUGUAUUAUCUAACCAACCAAUUGAUGAAUGUCACAUAAUUUGAGAUGGUUUUUUGGGAUAAAGAAUUUGGGAUUUUUACCCGCAAAAAUCCCAAGUACUUCCUGCUCCUGCAAUAUCAUUGCUGUGUAUUUGCUUUCCCCUUAGACAUAUUCAAUUGUGGUUCAGGGUAAAAAAGCUACAGCUUUUCCUGCUAUGUGCAACAAGCUGUCAGAUCAGAGUGAAAUCGAAAACAGGGUUGUGGUUGAUGGCAACCUCAUCACCAGUAGAGGGCCAGGAACUUCUAUGGAGUUUGCACUGGCAAUUGUGGAGAAGUUUUUGGGCCGCAACAAGGCACUUGAGCUUGCAAAGAUAAUGCUUUUCACUCGCGCCUAACGUUUGUAUGGGGACCUGUCUACUAUUAAACUAGUGUGUUUAUUUCUGUAUUGCUACUGCUUGUAGAGAGGGGAAAUGGAAACUUGAAUUCAUGUUUGAAUAUGGAUUCACUGUGUGGGUUUGUACAGCAGUUUGGUUUAUAAAUAAAUGAGUUCAUGGAGUCACUUCAAAUAUUCGGAAUAAACCUGAGUUUAGAUCUGUUAUCAAUGGUCGGAGUCCAAUUGCGAUCGACUCACUGGGAAUUUUAAUUAUGAAUCAUGUUAUAUUCCACCUUUCUCAUAAAAUGUUAACUCGAUUUACAGGAUAAGAAGGAAAAGAAAGACGCUAAGAGAGGAGCAGACACCCAAAAAGAGUUGACCACUUUGUUGGAACAUAAAUCUCUAGAAUAUUGAAAUAAAACACAUACCAUAUCUAGUAUCAAGUAUGUAUGUGCAAGAAGAUACAAAUUUGAAGAUCAGAUUUCUCAUUUCAAUUUAUGUUCUGCUUAGAGCAAUGGCUCUUAUUCCACAAGCACAAGCAGGAAAGAGUACGCACGAAGUUAAGAAACACACAUUGCAAAAGUUGCAUUAACUACUUGCGGCAACAUCAUCCAAGAACUUGACUUUAAUCUUCUUGAGCUUCGCUGCAGCAUCUGUCAUAUGCAUUCUCUUGUCAGGUGACUCCAUACAACAAUCCAAUGCCAAAUCCAUGAUGCUUAAUAAACAAUCCAUUUUGGCAGAAAAAGCUUGCUCUUCUCGCACCAAAUUUGCGUCAACAACUUCACUCAAUCUGUGAGGUAAUGACUCCUUCACCCAUCUCCUUAAACUCAUUUCUUCUGUGAACAUUUGAUCGGUGGGCCUCUUUCUCGUGAAAGUUUCCAUCAAUAACACACCAUAGCUGUAGACAUCACAUUUGGCUGAAACAAUUCCUUCUAAUCCAUACUCUGCAUUUUUUAAUUUUAAUUAUGAAACAAAUGAUAAAACAAAUAAUUUUUUUGAUAAUUAAGGUAACCCAAACUUUGCUCGUGCUUGAAAAAAGAGCAAAAAUUUUAAUUACAAUUGAAACUUUACCUGGUGCCAUAUAACCAAUUGUAGCCAUUGUCAUGGUUUGUGUCACACAAUCUUCUCCUUCACCUAAGAGUUUGGAAAUGCCGAAGUCGCACACAUGUGCCAUCAUAUUUUCAUCCAAGAGAAUGUUGGUGGGCUUCAAAUCACAAUGAAUUAUAGGUGCCGACGAAUGACCAUGAUGGAGAUAUUCAAGAGCCGACCCCACAUCUAUCAUUAUAUUCAACCUCUCUAGAAUGUCUAAGAAAUAAUUGUAAGAAUACAACCACUUCUCGAGACUACCAUUUGGCAUGAACUCAAGUACCAAUGCUUUGAAAUCUGGAUUAGAACAACUGCUAAGGAUCUUUAUGAGAUUUCGAUGACGAACAUUCCGUAAAACUUCACAUUCAGAAUCAAAACUCCUAAAUGCUCUCUCUAGUUGCAGAUUGAAAAUCUUUAUUGCAACAUUAGUCCCGUCGGAAAUGGUUCCUUUAUAAACUGAUCCAAAACUACCUGUACCCAGCAAGUUACAUUCAUUAAAUUCAUCAGUUGCUCGUUGAAUGUCAAGGUAGGAUGUUCUUCUCCAUGUUGCAAGAGGUAGGAAAUCUUCGUGAUCUGAUUUUUUUGUACUCCUCUUUCGGCAUCUUAUGUACAUAAUGAUGAUAAUCACUAUAAGUACAGAGGAUACUAUCGGAGGCAAAAUAUAUUUAAGGACAAUUAGAGCAACGUUCUUGGUGCUUUUGCUGUCACCUUGUUUGCAAGGUGGGACUCGGAGUUUAGGUGGACCACAGAGUGCAUAAUUUCCGAAAAAUGAUUCAGUUGACAAGUUUUUAAAAGACCCCUUAACAGGAAUUUCCCCUUCUAGCCUAUUAUGAGACACAUUAAAUUGUUUGAGAUGUGACAAUAUCUCCAAUGACUUAGGAAUUUUUCCAGAGAGAUUGUUGCCGGAGAGAUCUAAGGAUUCUAAGCUUAUCAAACUGCCAACUGAUUCAGGAAUAGGUCCCUGAAAUUGAUUACGAGCCAAGGAUAGAGUUUCUAGAUCUAUGAGGGCACCAAUGGUUGAUGGAAUAUCACCUAAUAAUUGAUUCCUUGAUAAAUCUAAAACUGUCAAGACCUUUAACUUUUGUACAUUGGAAGGGAGAGGACCAUUUAAUGAAUUAGACGACAAGUUUAUCUCUAAGAUGUACUCAAGGCUCCACAAGGAUGACGGUAUACUAGAAGUGAGCUUGUUGGAGCCUAAGCGGAGUUCUCUUAGAGAUGUCAAACUCGCCAAGCAUGGCGGUAUAUGUCCAGAGAGCUUAUUUCCAUUUAACCUUAUUCCGUAUAUCAACUCCAAGUGGCAAAGAUCAUAGGGAAUGGAUCCUUCCAAAUUAUUUUCUUCAAGAGAUAAACCUUGUAGCCGCUUAAGUCUUCCCAUCGUUGGUGAAAUAGUUCCAUUCAAGUCAUUGAAGCCGAGGCUUAAGAGGAUCAGGCCACGCAACUUACCAAUUUCUUUAGGAAUGCUGCCCCCGAGUUUGCAGUUGGAUGCAUAAAAUUGUCGAAGAGAAGCAGAGAAAUUUCCAAUCACUGGUGGAAGGAUGCCACCCAAUGGAUUAUAAGCUAAGGCUAAAAAUGUUAAAUUUCUGCAAUUAGUCAGAGAAGAGAGAAAACUCCACUGAUCUGCUGAAGAUGAUUCUGUCGUCAAGUUAUUAAAUGCUAAGCUGAGCACGUCGAGGUGUCUCAAGUUGCCAAAUGUAUUUGGAAUAUGGCCCGAGAAUGAGUUGAAGCCCAAGUCUAGGGCAACGAGUUUAGUAGCAUUGGUGAUAGAGUGGGGAAUUAUCCCUAUAAGAUUAUUGGCCGACAAGGCUAAAUACUCUAUGUUCGGAAGCGAGUGGCCAAUCGUUGACGGUAAGCGGCCUGAGAGUUGAUUGCCCCCCAGAGUAAGGAUUCUCAUGGUUGAAAUGUUGAAGAUCGUGGGUGGAAUGAGGCCACUUAAAUUGUUGUCAGCAAAAACAAGAACCUCCAAAUUUUCCAGAUUGCCAAUCUCGGUUGGAAUUUGACCUGCCAUCAGGCCAACAUUGAGGAGUCAUUGAGCUUUUAGCUUAAGGUAAAUUGAGUUUGACAAUGUUACCCUUGAAAAUGUAAAAGGAUCAAAUUAAUUUUAUUACACAAUAAUUUCAGCCAAUAAUGUUCUUUACACAAUAAUUCUGCAAAAUAUGCAUGCAAAUGGAAAAAUAUGCUUCAAUUACAAGAGGUGGUGGAGCGUACCUCGAAGAUUGCUGAAGCUAAGAUCCAGAUACACGAGUUUACUCAAAUUUCCAAUCCUUGAAGGAAUAUUUCCACCAAUAGUAUUGAACUCUGCACGCAGCGUCUCUAGCCUUGAUAAGUUGAAGAGAGAAUUAGGGAUGGGACCUGUGAAACUGUUAUUAUAAAGUCUCAAUAUUCGGAGUUUAGAUAAGACACCAAUCCAUGAUGGAAAGCUUCCGCUCAAUUUAUUGUAAGCGAAACUCACGACUCUGAGUCGACGUAAUUGCCCCAAUUCUUUCGGCAGAUGGCCAUGAAAAUUGUUCUCACUAAUGUCAAGAGACACUAGAAAUGAGAGAUUUCCCAAGUGUAGUGGAAUGGUGCCUCCGAGACCCAUAUCUGAAAGAUUCAAGGCAGUGACUCGUUGAUGGCGUGAACCACAAGAGAUACCAACCCAGCUACAUAUUGGAUAAGAUAUAGACCAAUUAUUUGCCAGGGCACUCCGAUAAUCAAGAAUGUGGGCUUUGAAUGCCAGAAGAGCUGAUUGAUCUGUUGUUAAAUCGUUUAAAGUCGUCACAGCUAAGCUAGCAAUGAGAUACUGUAACACUAACACCGACAUAGGAACAAAGAAGAAUGAUAAGCGCAUAUUGGUCGUUUUUAGUAGUAGUUGCAAGGCGAGAUUGAUACAAGUUUUAAGUAAAGGAAAUUAGCAUAUACUUAUAAUGAGACAUAUGAAUUUGAAAAUAAGAGCAGAAAAAAUAUACAGGAGACUUGCAAAUUGUUAUAUUCUGUCAUUGAGCGAGCCGUCCAAGUAAACGCAUUUACACUUGAACCCUAAAUAAAGGCCUUAUGGCACUUUAAUUGCCAUAAGGAAGAAGAUGCUCAACAUUGCCAAAAGUGUUUUUCUUGAAGUCUCGUCUUCCGUAAUGUUUGUAAAAUCGAGGUUUUACCAUCUCUAAUUAAAUAUUUACUCUUGAUUUAGACCACGUAAUCUAAACUUGACGAAAAAUUAUGAUCUUAUGUGAUUUUAUGAAUGUGGUCUUAUCUCUUAUAAGUCGGCAAUGAAUUAAUUAAAGCUUGCUGACAAAUUACAAGCUCAAAAAUAUCUUUUACUUAUUCACAAUCUUAUUUCAUUUUUUUAUAACAUAAUAUUAAAAAUUUGUCUAUUAAAUUAAUUUAAUAAUUUUUUUAAUAAAAAAUCUCAUUGACGACCAAACAACUAAUUUUUUUUUUAUAAAAGCUUUGCUUGUUAAAAUUAUGCUGAAAAAAACUCUACUUAAGUAAGUUCUAUUUUUUUUAUAAAAGCCAUUUUAUUUCUUUAUCUUUUUUAAUUAUUAUUGGAAAAGUAGCGCAGCUUAUCAAAAAAGGAAAGAAAAAAAAAAGUCAAAGUGACGAGUGGCUUGUUUUUUAAUUUCAAAGUCAAUGCAAAGUAAAAGUACCGAAAUAAUCAGUUUUUAAAUCCAAAUAAGUGGCAAUAAAGGGAGGUCUUGUUAGGGGUGUUCGCGGAUCGAAUUUUAUGGAUUGGACAUCAAUCCAUAUUCGAUCCACGAUUUUACGGAUUAUAAAAUUUCAAUCCAAUUCAAUCCACGGAUUUGUAAAAUUCAAUCCAAAUCCAAUCCAUAAAUCUGCGGAUCAGAUGCAAAUUUGACCUAAUCCAUAUCCAAUCUACAAUUUUGCGGAUUGGUUUGUGGACUGAAAAUUUUUAAUUCUGUCAAAUCCACGAACUAACUAAAUAAAAAAAUUUAAUAUAAAAAUAAUUUUACUACGGAUCAAAUUUAAAAUUAAAUAAGAUUUAAAUAAAUAAAUUGCUUAAAUAAAGCUAGCAAAUACAUUUAAAGUUUCAAAAUAUAACACACCAAAAUGAAAAAAAUAUCAUUCGUUUUAGAUCAAGGAAAUUAACUAUUUAGUAAACUAUAUUUGUUUAUUUAAUUAUUUUUUAUUUUUUAUUAUUAUCGGAUAUGAUAUAAUAUAAUGUUAAUGUAACUAUAUUUUAACUUAUUUAUUUACUAGUAAGUACUAAUAACAUAUUUACAAGUUUUAUUUUUAAUUAAAUAAAUACUUUUUAUUUUUUUGCGGAUUCGCGGAUUUUUACCGAUUUACAGAAGUAGAUCCAUAUCCAAUCCACUGAUUGCGGAUUAUCAAAUUUUCAAUUCAAUCCAAUCCACCAAUCCACGGAUCAGACGGAUUGAGCAGAUCGAAUUAGAUUAUGAACACCCUUAGGUUUUGGUGUGCAUUGUUGAAAACUUGGAAGUCUAUAUGACCAUUUAACCAAACUAUAGGGGUAUAACUGUCACAAAUUUUUAAAAAUAAAUUUUACCAAACAUUUAAAUGAUUUUUUUUUCACAAUUGAUUAUUAAAUUCUAAGUGUUAGACUAUUGUAAGAAUACAAAUAAUUGACAUGGACAUAAUAUUAAAUAAAAUUUACUUAUAUAUAUAUAUAUAUAUAUAUAUAUAUAUAUAUAUAUAUAUUAUUGUUUGUAUAUAAAAAUUGCUAACUAAAAAAUAUUUAUAUUUUAUCAAUUUUAUUUCUUUUAUUUUUUUAUCUCAAGAUAAAUAUAAUAAUAACAAUCUCUCUAAAUUUAAUUAUUUUUGCUCUUUAUUGAAUAAGGAUAAUUUUGAGUUUCUGUAAUAUAUGUGAGGAUAUAUAUAAAAUUGUAUUAAAUAUAUAACUAUUCUCAAAAUUAAAUUUUAAAAAACUAGUUCAUUCUCACUUUUCAUUUAAUUAGGCAAAUGGCCACAGAAAUUGUUCUCCCUCAUAUCCAAAUAAACUGAAAACGAGAGAUUUCGUAAGUGUGGAGGGAUGAUGCCUUCGAAACCCAUCACUGAAAGAUUCAAGUUUGUGACUCUAUGGUAUGAGCACCACAACAUAUGCCAAUUCGACUGCAUAUUGAGUAAGACAUGGACCAAUUAUUCAAGAGAUUCAUGAGCCUUCGAAGUGAGAAAUAAAGCAAAUUAUGUGGUGGUCGUGGGUCAAUUGACUACGUUUCGUGAUCUACGUGCGAUUGCAACAGUCGGUUCAUUAAGUGAAAUUAAUGACUCGUCCACUAUAGUAAGAUACUGUCCUCAUUAGGUUGGUGCUGGGUCAAUUUUAUCCAUGAGUCAACUUACAUUAAUUUGAAUUAAUUUAUAAGAGUAUCUCAUUUUCGUUGAUUACGAGUUGUGAUCGAUGACAUGCACGAAAGCAGUCAAUUUACAGGUCAUUCACUAUAUAUAUGGGGUCUAUGGGUGGAUGGAUCUAACGUAAAUUAAGGGUUGAUGAUGACCCUCGACUUCUAACGACGACCAUCGAAGACGACCUUGACUUUACAUGCAAACACACAAUUCGCUCUCAUACAUUAUGUUUUAAAAUUUCUCCAUUUUCCGGGGCCCCGCUGUCGACCGUACACAGUUUAAUUUGUAUAUACAAGACCUCAUUGUUUCUAGCAAGCAUAGAGCCAUAGACCAUAUUAAUUCCAAUUACAUAAAUCUUCAUUUUUAUCAUGAUUUUGGAUCUCGAGCAGUGUGGAUAUAUCCAACCAGAUCCGCCUCACUGGCAUCCCAAUAUAUUUUAGAAUUGAGUAAUGAGUAUCAAUAAAUGUGUAAUUGUAAAUCUACAACGUUUAAUUUUAAUUUGAGGACUCAAAUGAAUUUAUCCAACAAUACCUCGUUAAAUUAAUAUUCCAUAAAUUUUUAACUUUAAUUAAAUAACAAAUUUUGUCCGUCCCAACUUAGGAUUAACGUGGUAAUUAAUAAUUUGAUAAAUUGUUAGAUAAUAAUUUUUUAAAAAAAUCUUAUUUUUUUAUUGGAUCAAACUGAUAUAUAAAUGAAUAAUUAAUUAAUUUUAAAACUAAAUUCAUGUUAUGUCAAUCAAAUGUUAUUGCAAAGAAGACUAGCAGCGACGCUUUGAAAGGUACACCAAAGCCUUUUGCACCUUCUCCUCCGUGACCACCAAUAGAUACUUCCACCAUUUCAACGUCAUGACAUGAUGUAAGUUUCUUUUGUAGAAUUUGCGAAUUGGUAAUCUUUUACACGCGUAUAUUUAUAUCAUUGUAUAGUUAUAGAUUCAAUUACUUUUAUGAUGCAUUUAUUAAUUUGGAAUUGAAGUAGACAAGAAUGGGCUGUAAUGUGAAUGGAGAAUCGAAAUUAGAAUAAGUUAUUUACUUGAACUGUAGAAAUCGAAAUGAGUUGGAUUGUCAUUAAUGUGUUUACUUUGUCUUGGAAUCAGAAUUGAAAUAAGUUAGUUUAUAACAAAUUACUAAAAACUACUUAAUGAACUAUUGUUAUAAUUAUUAUUUUGUAUUUUAAUUAUUAUGAUUAUUUAUUAAAAAUUAUUAUUGUUAUUAUUACUUAUUGUUAAUAGUAUAUUAAUAUAUUAAUAAAUUAUAAUAAUAUAUUAAAUAACUAUAAUAUAUUAAAAAAUAUACUUGUAUUUACAAGAAAUGACUGAUAAAAUUUCUAAAAUCGUCUUCCUCCCUAAAACUCUUAAUGCCACAGCCCUAAAAAUUAAAAAGAUUUGGGAAUUAUAUGUCUUUUUUAAAAUAUUAAAGGGUGUUUAUUUCCUUAAACGGUGGGGACUAAAAGUCCUAUUCCCAAACGAGUAGUGUGCCGGCGUUGGAGGCUAGAAAGACAAUUUGUUACAUUGCUUCAGAAGUGCUUAAUGGAAAUUUUGGUGAGGCAUCACAUAAUUUAAAGGAUCAGGCUACGGUGCAACUGUGGUACCGUACUACAGUUGCAUCCAGCCGUUUUAAUUCACUUAUAUUGGUGAGGUUCACUGGCAUCCAACGGCUGAAUGCAACUAUGGCACGGUACCACAGUUGCACCACAAGUUUCCCCUAAUUUAAAUUACUGGAAUUUGCAUCAAUGGUUUUUAUUGGUUUAUUUACUCGUCAACAAAUUACUGUAACUGCAGAAAACAGUGUAACACAUUGUAUAAUACGUUAAUACGUUAUAUUGGUCAGUGCUCCUACCAAGGAAAUCUUUUUAAGUUUUGUUAGCAGAAUAUUCUUGUAAGGGUGGAGGCAUAAGAGAUUAAUAAUUUAAUAUCUCUUGUUCAUUAGAAGAUUUUUUUUUUUUGGGAAAAAAAAAGAAGAAGAUGGUUUGUUUAAUGUUGAUAAAUUUUGAAGUACAAUUUUAUAGAUGUCGAAUGUGGGCAAAAAGUAAAGAAGCUCAAACACUUUUCUACAUCUAAACUAAUCAUUAGGAUUUAUAUUAACUAAUAAACCCUAAUAAUACGAGCGUUCAUAAAAACUUCAUAUGAACAUUGAACCAGCAUGGCAUCAUAUUGUAAUAAGUUGUACAGCUGUCAAUCUCUUAUUAGUCAGAUAUAUUCUGAGUUAGUUACAUGAAUGUAGUAUAAAUAUCAUACUCUGUACACAUUCUUAGUUAGUUACUUCAGUAGAAUUUUCUCUCCUCUACUCAAUUUUUAAGUUAUCUUUUAUAUUGGGGGCAAAUGAUAUUUUAUUAACGAAAUGAUUUUGCCCUCUUAAUAAGCUCUCAUUUCUCCGCUUUGAUCAACACAGCCUUCUUUUAUUACAUCAAAAUUCUUCCUCUUUCCAUCAAAAUUUCAUGGAUCUGCCCUUACGUAAAAUCAUAUGAGAGUAUAUAAUAAAAUUAAUUAGGUAUGUUUGGAACAUUUUUGGUAUCCUUAAGCUGAUUUUAUUUUUAUUUUUUUAUAGUAUAUAUUGUCAAAAGUAAAUGCUAUAAACACUUUCGGAAAAAAAGAUGAAGAGCACCUUUGGAGUAAUUUUUUCUAUAGGAACUAACAAAACAACUAAAUGAUGUAUGUAUCUCUAAGAUUUAUUAUUAUUAAUUUUUUUUUCUGUAGUUGACAAAGCAUCAUGAUUGUGUUGGAUGAUAAGAUUAAAGGUGGGAAUGGUCCGAAUGGACCAAUUUUUUAGGAUAAAAAAAAAAAUGAUUCAAUCCUGGGCAUGUUUGGCUAUCGAAACUAGUUGAUUAGUCUAAAGUUUAAUUCAAAAGUAAUGGGACUAUUAAUCCUUAGGAAAAUUAUCAUUUGUAUACUCUAUAGAUGCUCUGUUAUAUAAAAAAUUACAACACUUUGAGAGUGUAUCAAUCGUCCACCCUAAGUUGACAAAAUAUAUCUGCCGUCCAUCAAACCGUUACUUGCUGUUUAAAUAGGAUAGCGCCAGAGGGGUAAUUUGGUCUUUUCAUAUGAUACAAGUGAUAAUUCAAGGGUAUACAAGUGAUAAUAAAAGAAUUUAAAGGUAUACAAGUGAUACUUUUCAAGGGUAAAAUCAUCAAUUCGCUAUAAUUCCGUUAACUUUCAAACGACAGCUAACGGUUUAGUGGUCGGCAGAUAACUUUUUUCAAUUUAGGGUGGACGAUUGAUACACCCUCAAAGUGUUAUAGUAUUUUUUAUAAUAGAACAUCUAUAGGGUAUACGAAUGAUAAUAUCCCUAAUCAAUCCUUAAUUCAACUUAGGUUUAAGUAGUAUAUAAAAAAUCUUCUUUAUCACUCUUUUCAUUUUUAUUUAGAUUAAAAUUCAUAUAAAUAAAUAUAAAGAAUUAAUUUCAUAAUUUAUUUAAACUAAAAUUUUAUAUUAUAUUAAAUAUCCAAAUUUUAAUUCAAUAAUUUAUUUAUAUUAGAAUUUUAUGCAAUAUUAAAUCCCAAAACUUUAUUUAAUAAUUUAUUUACAAAAAUAUUAAUAUCAAAUUCAACAAUUAGUAAUAUAAUUUAAAAUAAUUACACUAUUUUAAUAGUUAUUUAGCUAUAUUAAAUUAAAUUUAACAUAUCCUUGUCCGAUACUAUACUAAACAAACGAUAGUACCUUAUAUAGUAUAGUCAAUCUAUUAUAAUAUAAUUCAAUCUAAUCGAACGUGCCAAAUCAGUACAUUUUAAAAAAUAAUUUUAUAACAGCUUUAAAAAAGCAUUUUUUAAGUUACUUUUACAAAAUGUGCUUUCUCCGAAAGCACUCGUGAAAUGCAAAUUCUCACAAAACACGUGGUGUGUUCAAUUGGGCCUCCGCCCAUUAAAACUACAACCAUGAAAGCAAGCAAUGUUCAUUGGGCUUUAUUCUCUCGAGAAAACUUAUACACGUAGCCCACCACCGGCGCCCUAAUUUGUCUCCACCUCUCUAAAUAGAGUUGGACUAUUGGCACCUUUCCAAAAUUCUUCUGAAAUUCCUUUUUCAAUAAUAUUAAGUUUAAUGCUAAAAAUAUCCUUAUUUCCAAAUAAAUACAUUUAAUUUGUGAAUAUUUUAAUUUUCUAUUAUUUUCUCGCUCCUCACAAACAAAUUUUUAUGGGCGAUAAACUUCUUGAUAAAAAUCAAUUAAUUAAAUAAAAUAUCUAUAAGAUUAUAAUGUAAAAAAUUUUAUUAUGAGUCUUAAAAAAAGACAGAUAAAUUUAUCAGAAUGUGUUUUGUUUAUUAUCAAUAGAUUAUUUUAGUAAUUAAAGAAAAAUUUAUAGAGAAUUUGAGAAAAAAAAUUACGUGUGAGUUUGAUAGCAAAGAAAAUAUAAGAGUUUUUUUUUAAGAGAGAAAAUACAAAAGUUUGAAGUGAGAUAAAAUAGAUAUAAGAUAUAUUAGAGUAUUUAUCCUUAAAUUUAAUUGUAACAAAAGAGAGGUUUUAAAAAGAUUUUGGAGGAGUGUCUCCAACUCCUCUAAAUAUUAUUGAUUGAUGCAUAUGUUUCACAGCAUAGAGUGGCUUACAUUGGAGCUUUUCUAAAAAAAUGAAAAUUUCAUUUAAUUAUUUAUUAUUCACGGAUAAGAAAUUAACUUCUUCUUUUUUCUAACGCCACAGUCUGGUGAGCUUGCCUAGUGUGUUUUAGUUGGAUAAAAAUUUUAGCAAAUGCUUCUUGGCAAGGAAGCUUAAAUAGUUUAACCUGAAUUUAACCUCGAAUGAACCCAAAUUAUUAAACCGAACCAAUCCGAAUUGUGAAUCUGAAUUUCAGUUCGAUUCAGUUUGGUUCAGGUUCGUAUUUUCAACUCGAACAAGUUUAAUGCUCCAAUUCGAUCAGGUUGUAACCUAAACCGAAACUCGAAAACCCGAACUGAAACUCAAUUUGGCCACCCCUAAUGAGAACUGAGAAGUACCUGGAUCGUAAAAGAAAGGUUUUGAUGAUAAUUUUGGCUAAAAAUCUGUUUCUUAACUUCUAUUUUUAUUUUUUUAUGCUGUAUUUUAGUUGCUGAAUAGGUUAUAUAUAGAAGUUCAGUUAAUUUUGUUUUGGAUGAAAAAUCAAUGAGUACUUCUGUGAUUAAUAAGUGAAAUUUUGUUUGCAUCAUAUAGUCAGCUAUAAUGCAUUGGAUGGCUUUGACUCAGCAUGGAAGAAAUGCUCUCCGGCAGAUUACUAAAGAGAGCUCUGAUCGCGUGUUGCAUCACCCAUUGCUAUUUUCUUGUCAAGGAGUCAGAUACAGACGAUUGGAAGUGAUUCUAACAACAAUGAGUAAAUUGAUCUUUUGUUUUCCCUUUUCACCAGUUUGGAUCUCUUGACUAAUCAGCCUGUUUGAGUUUUAACUUGUGUAUUAAUGAUUGGUUUUAUAUGUUCAGAAAGUUGACAAGCUUGGUAAAGCCGGUGAAACUGUGAAGGUUGCUCCGGGGUAUUUCCGGAACCACUUGAUGCCCAAAUUGCUUGUUGUUCCAAAUAUCGAGAAGUUGGCUCAUCUCAUUAGAGAGCAGCGCAGGUAUUUGUUUUUCAUGAUUCUUCUCGGUUGAACUUUUUUUGUUUGGGUUGAGAAUGGUUAAUUCUAGUGAUACAGAAAUUUGCUCAUUUUCUUUAGAUACUUUGUUUAGCCAGUUUGUCAAUUAAUUUGACUCAUGGCUUCAAAUUAUUGCUAAAUUCUCAGUUUGGAAAUAUUUGUGAUUUUUGAAGGGGCAUUACAAGUUAUUAAAGUUUGUUGUGCCUGUGACUUAUUUUCAUCAGAUUUGCCAGCCUGAGGAAGAGGAAGAGGAAGAGGAAGAGGAAGAGGUUAGAGUUAUCCGGAAGUCUGAGGACAAUAUGAGUAGAGAAUUUGAGAAGGCAGCUAGGCGCCUAGAGAAUGCUCGACUGGUUUGUGGCCUAUCUUUUAAUUUCUUCAGAUUCGGGACAAAUUGUCUUGGAGUGAACUGAUGUGUUGCCUUUUCCUUUUUUUUUAGCUUGAAUGAUCUAUUUGCUACAGUUAGGAGUGAACGUCGUAAUGAAUUUUAAAUUAUACUGUUUGUUUCGAUUUACUUUUCUAUCUUAGCUCCAUCAAGUGAUUAGUGGAAUGCUGGUCCUGUGAGUAUAAAAUGAAACUCCUUAAGUUAAAUUCCUUAGGCUGUGUUUAUUUUCUGUAGUGGGAGCGAGGAGUGUAAAUUCUUUUCAUUUCAGUAUUUAUUUCAACAAAUUGGCUCCGGAUUGAGAAUCCCACUCAGUAGACCCCACCCAUUUUUGGAGUGAGAUUCCCAUGGGGAGAGGUGGGAGUGAGAUUCCCACUCCCACCUCUCCCUUUUUUUACAUUUUUUUUAAUUUAAUUUAAUUUAACUUAAUUUAAUAUUUAAUAAAAUAAAAUAAAUAAUAUCAUAUUUAUUUGAAUAAUAUUAUUAUAUUUAUUUUAAAAAUAAUAAUACUAUAUUUAUUUAAUAUUAAUAAUUAAUAAUAAUAAAUAGUUUAUUCUAAGAAAAUAUUAAUUUUGUCCUAAAUAAUAUUAUAUUAUUAUUUUAUAUAAUAAUAAAUUUAAUAUAAUUAUAUUAAAUAAAAUAAAAUAAUGUUUCAUUUUAUAUUUACCCUUCUUUUUUACCCUCUUUUUAUUAAAUUUACUAUAAUUAUAUUUAAUAAAUAUUUAAAUAAUAUUAUAUUUAUUUAAAUAAUAUUAAUAUAUUUAACUAAAUAAUAAUUUGGUUUGAUUCUAAGUCUAAAUUACUUAAAAAUAAUAUUAUUAUAUUAAUACAGAAUUAAUAAUAUUACUUUUAUACCAUCUUUAUUUGAAAAUAUAUUAUUAUUAUUAUUAUAUUUAUUUAAAAAUAUUAGUAUUAUAUUUAUUUAAUAUUAAUAAUUAAUACUAAUAAAUAGUUUAUUCUAAGAAAAUAUUAAUUUCAUACUAUGUUAAUAGUAAAAUAUUUCAUUUAUAUUGCCCUUAUCAAUAAUUUUUAAUUUAUAUAAUUAAAAUUAAAAUUAAUAAAAAAAUGUGAUGUUCAUAAUUAAGAAUAUUAAUAAUUAUUAUAAAUUUACAAAUAUAAAUGUUUAUUCAUUAAAUAUAUUUUUUAUUAACUUUGUAAUUAAAAACUAUAAUUCUUUAAAUAAGGAUAAAAUUGUAAUUUGAAACUAUUUACUCCCAAUCCGAGACAAACUAAACACAUAAAUUGAAUUCUGAUCUCCAUUCCAUGCUUUCAUUUUAGUGUAAGUAAACAACAUACUCCCACUCCCAAUCCUAAGAUUCCCACUCCAAUUCAAAAAGUAAACGCUACCUAAAUACAAGUAAUCUUGCUUUCAGAUAUGAAUUAUCUGAUGGAUGUUGUAUUUUCAAGGUAUUGAGGAGAUUCCCCAAUAUUGAAAAAUUGCGUUCCCGUGCAUCAAAAGAUGAUCCCAUAGAAUUGCGUUCACCUGUGACAAAAGAGGAGCUUGUAGUUGAGGUAUGGAUUUUUAUAUUUCUUGGUUGUUUUUAUACUUGUUUCUCAUCAUAAUAGCAAAAGCAGUUUGUUCUGAGUGAUCUGUGUGGUCUCCUAUCAAUGACUGCCGUUUCUAUCAUUUAGUACUAUUGACUAUGUGUGUAUAAAUAUUUUGUUUUUACCAUGUAAUUUCAUAUUCGAUGCAUUUCUAAUACAUUGCAUAGCGUCCAUGAAUGGGAAUGAUAAAAUAAAUUUCAAGCGUGUUUCAAUAGAUGAAAAAACUUGGAACGAUUUAGAAGGAUUUGCUGAUUAAAUAAUUUUCCAAUUUGUUUGCUUGGAGGAAUUGAAUAGUUAACUGAUUAAAGGAUUUCAAGGUGGUUCGGUCCCGCUGGGCAUUGUCAAUAUCAACGGUCAUUAAUUCCUAUUAUCUGAAAUUGAAUUUCCAGUGUGGCAUGGUAACUUUCUGCUAGGGUGUGAUUGUAUAGUAGCCAAUUGUGAGCAACAGAUCCGCAUAGUAAUAUAGAUUGAAAUUUUGCAUCUUAAUCCAUGAAGAUAUAGAUUUUGGCAAUAUUAUACAAGCACUGGGGAUUACCUUAAAUAUUCUGGACUUGUCAUUGAUAGAGUUUCUUUUACCUAGUUAUUGAUAUUUCUUUCAAUUUUCUAUUUUACUCAUACAAUUUAUACAAUUUUAGGUGGCAAGACAACUUUCGUUUUCUAUUGAGCCUGAAAACCUGCAUCUACCAUCACCUCUAUCUGCUUUUCGAGAAUAUGAGGUUCCUAUGCGCUUACCCAAAGCCAUCCCCCUACCGGAAGGAAAGGUCCAAUGGAUUCUCAAUGUUAAAGUCCGCGGCAAAUAAAUAUUUUUUAGUUAAUUUUUUAAUCAAUAAAAAAAGGUAAUUAAAAAUGUAAUUAAUAAAUUACUUAUUAGCAAAUUAAAAAACAAAUAUUAGCAUAAAAUAAUUGAUAUUUCAUUCUCUUACAACAAUCUUACCAAUUAUUAUUUAUAAAUUAAUUAAUGCAAGUUAAUUUAAAGUAAUGUUUAAUAUUCUUGUAACAACCUUACUAAUAAUUUUUUGAUAAAAAAAUUAAUUUAUUAAAUUAAUCCUAGAAGUAAAAUAAUAAUAAUUAAUUUGUAUUUUAUUUUUAAGAUUAAUUUGAUAAAUUUAAUUUUUUUUAACUAAUAUCUCCAAGAAUAUAGUUGUAACGAUAUUAUUACAAAAGGAAAAAAAAUAUAAGAUUAUAAUAUAUUUACCAGUAAGAAUAAUUUAAAAUAUUUUUUAAGAUAUAAAAAUUAAACGGACACUUAAUUAAAAAAAAAAAAAAAAAACUAAAUAAGUAGUUAGCUUUUAACAUUUCAACCUAGUGGUCAUACAAUCAUGGUGCGGCCCGGGAUGGCUGGCCCAGCCCAUCAUGUAAAAAUCCAUGUCACCCUCAUUCUUAAGCUGCUACUCUGCCACUUGCCACGGAGCUCCCCACAUCAUACCGUACCGAUGCCUCUAGAAAGCUAACUUUAAAAAAAUGGUAUUAAUAAGCGUACGCCACGUCACUCCUCACUCUCUUCUUCGUCACUUUCCUCUCACUCAACAUUUUCUCCCCAAACAAAUUCCUUCUUUGAAAAAUCGCAUUUUCUCCUUCACAGCAACCGCUACAAUGUCUUCAACUUCCAAGAAGGUAAUUUUUUUAAAUUUUAUUUUUUGUUUAGUUUCUUUCUGUUGCCUUUUUGUUUCGUUUUUUGAAUUUUCUGUGUCGUUUUUUUUUUCCCAAGGUUUUGGUGCCUGUUGCGAACGGGAGUGAGCCGAUUGAAGCCGUGAUAACGAUCGAUGUUUUGAGAAGGUCUGGAGCUGACGUCACGGUUGCGUCUGUGGAUAAACAGCUUCGUGUCGACGCGUGUCAUGGUGUCAAGAUUGUCGCUGAUGCUCUCGUGUCUGACUGCCGCGACGCUGUUUCUGAUCUUAUAGCUCUGCCCGUAUGUAUUGCAGCUCACCUCAGCUCAUGCUAAUUUAUGUGAUGUUUGUAUAAUUAUAGAUGAUUACUGCUGAUACUGAAUGUUAAAGCUAAAUAAUUCGUUCUUAAGUCAUCUUCAUUUAAUUUUCGAUUGAAAAUGAAAAAAAAAAUAAUUUUAAGCAAAGAAAAUGUUUAUUUUGUUUUAUUUUUAUUUUUAAAUUUUUGGGAUUUCCUUAUUGUGACUGUUGUCAUUCAUUAUAUGGUCCUAGUUAAAUGUUUCAAGUUGUUGUAGUCUGUGAAACUCUUUUCGAUAUUUGUUCUGGCAUGUACAUUUUUCCUUUCAAUUUAUUUUGUUGCUGAUACUUUGAUUAUGAUAUAUCCUUUUUUGUUUCCCUUGUAGGGUGGCAUGCCCGGUGCUACCAAUCUGAAAGAAUCUGAAGUAUUAGAAACCAUUGUGAAGAAGCAGGCUUCAGCUGGGCGUCUUUAUGCUGCUGUCUGUGCUUCACCUGCUGUGGCAUUAGGGUCUUGGGGUCUGUUGAAGGGAUUGAAGGUAAGAAUUAGAUAAGCCUUUUUUUAUGUUUGGUGUUCUUUUGGGAAUUGCAUUGAUAUUUGUGUUAUACAUCAGUUUUGCUCUCACCGAUGAUUGUUAAGUUCUAAUUUAUGGGGUUAUUCAUUUUUUGUAGGCUACUUGUUACCCGUCAUUUAUGGAGCAAUUAGCUCCUGCUUGUGCAGCAACUGUUGAAUCAAGAGUACAGCAGGAUGGUAAAGUUGUUACGAGUCGUGGACCUGGCACUACUAUGGAGUUUGCCAUUGCACUUGUCGAGCAGUUGUAUGGGAAAGAGAGAGCUGAUGAAGUUUCUGGGCCACUGGUAGUAACUUUUAUAGAUAAUGUUGUUUAAAAAAAUUGUGAGUUAUAUAAUUUGUGGAAAUUCAUUCUAAUAGGUUCAUCUAGUAUGUCAAAUUGGAAGGUUCAGAUGCUAAUAUAUUCCAAAAAAUUUGUUCAGGGGAAAAGUAUGACUUUUUGCAUUAGAGAUUCAUUAGAUGAAGUUGUAUACCUGCUGGCCCAUCUUAAUGUGGUGAAAACGAUGUCUGAUGAGACUGAUAUAAUUAUUGGAAUCUUGAUAAAUGCAUUUGUUGAGCUUGAAUGUCUCCACUGAUCACGUUCUUUUUAAUGUAAGUUCUUUCUCUUGGUAUUUGUCUUUGAAUCUUCUCUUCCUCAUGCUUUCGUCUUCACUGUCACCUUGUGCCUAGGUAAUGCGUGCAAAUCAUGGAGAUGAAUACACUAUUGCUGAAUUCAAUCCAAUUCAGUGGACAUUUGACAAUUCUCCCCAAGUAAGAUUUGACUUCUAGUUUCUUGUAGUUGUUUUUCUUCAUCCGAUGUUUUCAGGGAUACCCAUUUGGCAGUAUAUAAAAGUCUGUGAUAUCUUCUAUACAUAUACAUCAUUGGCUUCAGUCAUUUUCGAACAUAUUGGAGGUAGUAGAUGUAUUUUUAUGAUAUCUCUAAUAAAAUCCCAAGUUUGAUCAAUUACAAAAGAAGUAUGAGCGGUGCUGGACCGGGGGGGAAGAAGAAGUGGGGGGUCGGUGUGGUGGGGGUGUGCAGUGCAUGAAUAAAAGGAAAUGAUAGGGGGUGAAAGUUUGUGCUACCGACAUGCUGUAAAAUGGGGACAUAAUAUUUCAAAUUAGAUAUUGUGUGAUCCUUAAUAUUGCUGACUUUUGCUUAAAAUGGAAUUCUUGAUAACUUCAAAUGUUAAAGUUCUUGGUGAAAUUUUGUACUUUCUUUUCUUUCAGAUUCUUGUGCCUAUUGCAAAUGGUUCAGAGGAGAUGGAAGCUGUUAUGAUAAUUGAUAUUCUGCGACGAGCUAAAGCAAAUGUUGUAGUUGCAUCAGUUGAGGAUAAACCAGAAAUUCUGGCUUCUCGUCAAAUUAAAUUAGUGGCAGAUGUGCUCAUUGAUGAGGCGGCUAAACUCUCGUAUGAUUUAAUUGUCUUGCCAGUGAGUUGGGGUGCUUACUGUUGCUUCAUAGUCUUUACCACAUAAUUGACUUACUAACUACAAUUUAUCCAUGCACAUUGCAUAGGGUGGACUUGGUGGCGCUCAAGCAUUUGCGAAGUCAGAGAAAUUGGUGAAUAUGCUAAAGAAGCAAAAGGAAUCAAAUAGACCUUACGGUGCUAUAUGUGCAUCCCCAGCUUUAGUGUUGGAGCCCCAUGGCUUACUCAAGGUACGACCAUUUCUGCUUAAAUUAUUUACUCAGAUUUGGAUCACCUAAUCUGAACUUGAUGAAGGAUUAUGAUGUUGUGUGAUUUUAUGAAUGUGGUCUUAUCUCAUGUAAGUCGGUGAUGAAUUAAUUGAAGUUUGCUGACAAAUUAGAAACUGAAAAACUGCUGCUGCUUCGUUAGUUACAUUACCCAAAGAGUUAAAAUAAACAUCCCAAAUUUUUUGUCCCAAAUUCUGUCCCAAAUGAUAUGGCAUUUAUUGAGUGAUUGUAUUAUCUAACCAACCAAUUGAUGAAUGACACAUCAUUUGAGAUGGUUUUUUGGGAUAAAGAAUUUGGGAUUUUUACCCGCAAAAAUCCCAAGUACUUCCUGCUCCUGCAAUAUCAUUGCUGUGUAUUUGUUUUCCCCUUAGACAUAUUCAAUUGUGGUUCAGGGUAAAAAAGCUACAGCUUUUCCUGUUAUGUGCAACAAGCUGUCAGAUCAGAGUGAAAUCGAAAACAGGGUUGUGGUUGAUGGCAACCUCAUCACCAGUAGAGGGCCAGGAACUUCUAUGGAGUUUGCACUGGCAAUUGUGGAGAAGUUUUUUGGCCGCAACAAGGCACUUGAGCUUGCAAAGAUAAUGCUUUUCACUCGCACCUAACAUUUGUACGGGGACCUGACUACUAUUAAACUAGUGUGUUUAUUUCUGUAUUGCUACUGCUUGUAGAGAGGGGAAAUGGAAACUUGAAUUCAUGUUUGAAUAUGGAUUCACUGUGUGGGUUUGUACAGCAGUUUGAUUUAUAAAUAAAUGAGUUCAAAGAGUUACUUCAAAUAUUCGGAAUAAACCUGAGUUUAGUUCUGUUAUCAAUGGUCGGAGUCCAAUUGCGAUCGACACACUGGGAAUUUUAAUUAUGAACUAAAAAAUUGUUAUGUUAUAUUCCACCUUUCUCAUAAAAUGUUAACUCGAUUUACAGGAUAAGAAGGAAAAGAAAGACGCUAAGAGAGGAGCAGAGACCCAAAAAGAGUUGACCACUUUGUUGGAACAUAAACCUCUAGAAUAUUGAAAUAAAACACAUACCAUAUCUAGUAUUAAGUAUGUAUAUGCAAGAAGAUACAAAUUUGAAGAUCAGAUUUCUCAUUUCAAUUUAUGUUCUGCUUAGAGCAAUGGCUCUUAUUCCACAAGCACAAACAGGAAAGAGUACGCACGAAGUUAAGAAACACACAUUGCAAAAGUUGCAUUAACUACUUGCAGCAGCAUCAUCCAAGAACUUGACUUUAAUCUUCUUGAGCUUCGCUGCGGCAUCUGUCAUAUGCAUUCUCUUGUCAGGUGACUCUAUACAACAAUCCAAAGCCAAAUCCAUGAUGCUUAAUAAACAAUCCAUUUUGGCAGAAAAAGCUUGCUCUUCUCGCACCAAAUUUGCGUCAACAACUUCAGUCAAUCCGUGAGGUAAAGACUCCUUUACCCAUCUCCUUAAACUCAUUUCUCCUGCGAACAUUUCAUCGGUGGGCCUCUUUCUCGUGAAGGUUUCCAUCAAUAAAACACCAUAGCUGUAGACAUCACAUUUAGCUGAAACAAUUCCUUCUGAUCCAUACUCUGCAUUUUUUAAUUUUAAUUAUGAAACAAAUGAUAAAACAAAUAAUUUUUUGAUAAUUAAGGUAACCCAAACUUUGCUCGUGCUUGAAAAAAGAGUAAAAAUUUUAAUUACAAUUGAAACUUUACCUGGUGCCAUAUAACCAAUUGUAGCCAUUGUCAUGGUUUGUGUCACAGAAUCUUCUCCUUCACCUAAGAGUUUGGAAAUGCCGAAGUCGCUCACAUGUGCCACCAUAUUUUCAUCCAAGAGAAUGUUGGUGGGCUUCAAAUCACAAUGAAUUAUAGGUGCCGACGAAUGACCAUGAUGGAGAUAUUCAAGGGCCGACCCCACAUCUAUCAUUAUGUUCAACCUCUCUAGGAUGUCUAAGAAAUAGUUGUGAGAAUAUAACCACUUCUCGAGACUACCAUUUGGCAUGAACUCAAGUACCAAUGCUUUAAAAUCUUGAUUAGAACAACUGCUAAGGAUCUUUAUGAGAUUUCGAUGACGAACAUUCAGUAAAACUUCACAUUCAGAAUCAAAACUCCUAAAUGCUCUCUCUAGUUGCAGAUUGAAAACCUUUAUCGCAACAUCAGUCCCGUCGGAAAUGGUUCCUUUAUAAACUGAUCCAAAGCUACCUGUACCAAGCAAGUUACAUUCAUUAAAUUCAUCAGUUGCUCGUUGAAUGUCUAGGUAGGAUGUUCUUCUCCAUGUUGCAAGAGGUAGGAAAUCUUCGUGAUCUGAUUUUUUUGUACUCCUCUUUCGGCAUCUUAUGUACAUAAUGAUGAUAAUCACUAUAAGUACAGAGGAUACUAUCGGAGGCAAAAUAUAUUUAAGGACAAUUAGAGCAACGUUUUUGGUGCUUUUGCUGUCACCUUGUUUGCAAGGUGGGACUCGGAAUUUAGGUGGACCACAGAGUGCAUAAUUUCCGAAAAAUGAUUCAGCUGACAAGUUUUUAAAAGACCCCUUAACAGGAAUUUCCCCUUCUAGCCUAUUAUGAGACACAUUAAAUUGUUUGAGAUGUGAAAGUGUCUCCAAUGACUUAGGAAUUUUUCCAGAGAGAUUGUUGCCAGAGAGAUCUAAGGAUUCUAAGCUUAUCAAACUACCAACUGAUUCAGGAAUAGGUCCUUGAAAUUGAUUACUAGCCAAUGAUAGAGUUUCUAUAUCUUUGAGGGCACCGAUGGUUGAUGGAAUAUCACCUGAUAAUUGAUUCCUUGAUAAAUCUAAAACUCUCAAGACCUUUAACUUUUGUACAUUGGAAGGGAGAGAAUCAUUUAACGAAUUUGACGACAAGUUUAUCUCUAAGAUGUACUCAAGGCUCCACAAGGAUGACGGUAUACUAGAAGUGAGCUUGUUGGAGCCUAAGUGGAGUUCUCUUAGAGAUGUCAGACUCGCCAAGCAUGGUGGUAUAUGUCCAGAGAGCUUAUUUCCAUUUAACAUUAUUCCGUACAUCAACUCCAAGUGGCAAAGAUCAUAGGGAAUGGAUCCUUCCAAAUUAUUUUCUUCAAGAGAUAAACCUUGUAGCCGCUUAAGUCUUCCCAUCGUUGGUGAAAUAGUUCCAUUCAAGUCAUUGAAGCCGAGGCUUAAGAGGAUCAGGCCACGCAACUUACCAAUUUCUUUAGGAAUGCUGCCCCCGAGUUUGCAGUUGGAUGCAUAAAAUUGUCGAAGAGAAGCAGAGAAAUUUCCAAUUACUGGUGGAAGGAUGCCACCCAAUGGAUUAUAAGCUAAGGCUAAAACUGUUAAAUUUCUGCAAUUAGUCAGAGAAGAGAGAAAACUCCACUGAUCUGCUGAAGAUGAUUCUGUCGUCAAGUUAUUAAAUGCUAAGCCAAGCACGCCGAGGUGUCUCAAGUUGCCAAAUGUAUUUGGAAUAUGGCCUGAGAAUGAGUUAAAGCUCAAUUCUAGGCCAAUGAGUUUAGAAGCGUUUGUGAUGGAGUUGGGAAUUUUUCCGGUAAGGUUAUUGGCCGCCAAGGUUAAAUACUCUAUGCUCGGAAGCGAGUGGCCAAUCGUUGAUGGUAAGUGGCCUGAAAGUUGAUUGCUAAUUAGAUUAAGGACUGUUAGGGUUGAAAUGUUGAAGAUUGUGGGUGGAAUGGGGCCACUUAAAUUAUUCGCACUAAGAACAAGGGUAUCCAAAUUUUGUAGAUUGCCAAUCUCAGUUGGAAUUUGACCUGUCAUAAAGAUAAACGCCAAAUUGAUGAGUUAUUGAGCUUUUUACUUAACAUAAAUUUUAAUUUCAUAACGCAUGAAAAUCAAAUUUGCCCACAAAAUGUGUGUUAUUAGUUUUAUAAUUUUUUUUUGGGUUUUUUUUGGGGGGGGGGGGGGGGAGAUUGAUAUUGCUACCUCAUAAUUUUUGUAAAACCCCACCCGCUUUCAGAGAAUUAUUGGAACAAGAUUCUUAAAAAAAUUCAAAUAAAGAAGAAGUUUGGAGAAAUAAUCAAUUAAAUCCAUCUUAAUAUACUUUUUGAAACUUAUAUUCUUUUAUCAUAUAUAAUAACUAAGGUUGCUUUAACAUAAAUUUAAUAUAACUAGUCUACUCUCAUAAGGUAGAAUUACUAAAAUACCCACAAAUUUACUUCAACUUCAACUAAACUAACAAAAUGUAUUUGUUGACAUGUGGGGAACUAAAAAUUAUUGAAUUUUAUUUUAGAAAUAUUGUAUUACAAAACAUAAAACAAAAUGCCGAAACUAUAUAUUAGAUACAAUAGUACAUGUUUUUCGGGGUAAUUUGGUCAUUUUAUAUUAUAAGAGUAAAAUAGUCAAAUUAAACUUAUUUUAAAGCAACCGUAAACGGUCAAAGAUUGUUAAAAGCCCUAAGUCAUAAAAGAAAAACAUUAUAAAAAUAAUUUAUUAAUUGUUCAGACUUAAUUUAUAAUUUUAUAACAUAAUGUGAACUUAUUAUAACUAUCUUUUCAAAAUGAGGUGGGUUUGCAAGAAUAAUGAGUGGAAAUAUCCCCACCCUAUAAAAUAAAAAGAAUUUUGCAGCUAUGCAAAUGCAAAUAUGUAGAACGUACCUUGUAGGUUGUUAUAACCUAGAUUCAGAAUGAAAAGGCUGCUAAAAUUUCCUAUCCCUGAAGGAAUAUUUCCAUCAAUAACGUUGUAGAUUGCGUCGAACACCUCCAGCUUCGAUAAAUUGAGGAGAGAAUUUGGGAUUGGACCCGUGAAACUGUUAUUAUAAAGCCUCAACGUUUGUAAUUUGGAUAAGACACCAAUCCAUGUUGGAAUGCUUCCACUCAAUUUAUUGAAACCGAAUCUAAUGAAUCUGAGUCGGCGUAAUUGCCCCAAUUCAUUAGGCAGAUGGCCAUGAAAAUUAUUAUGAGCAACAUCAAGAGAUACUAAGAACGUGAGAUUUCCCAAGUGUAGUGGAAUGGUGCCUCCGAGACCCAUAUCUGAAAGAUUCAAGGCAGUGACUCUUUGAUGGCGUGAACCACAAGAGAUACCAACCCAGCUACAUAUUGGAUAAGAUAUAGACCAAUUAUUUGUCAGAUCACUUCGAUAAUCAACGACACGGGCUUUGAAUGCAAGAAGAGCCGAUUGAUCUGUUGUUAAGUUGCUCAAAGUCGUCAUAGCUAAGCUAGCUAUGGAAUAUUGUACCAACAACAUAGGAACAAAGAAGAAUGAUAAGCACAUAUUGGUCGUUUUUUUUUAUAGAUGCAGCAAUCUAAUUGCUAGGUGAAGUUGAUACAAGUUUUAAGUGAAGGAAACUAGCAUAUACUUAUACAAGAGACGUAUGAAUUUGAAAACAAGAAAAGAAAAAAAUGUACAGGAGAGUGGAGACAUGCAAAUUGGUAUAUUUCAUCAUUGAGCGAGUCGUCCAAGUAAACUCAUACAGACCUGUAAAUUGUUAUAGGCCGCGGUACUUGAACCGUGAAUAAAGGGCUUAUGGCACUUGACUUACCAAAAAGAAGAAGAUGCUCAACAUUGGCAAGGCCUAUGCAUUCUGUCCAUUUGUUCACGUUUUGCCAAGGCUCAGGGCAACCACAAUAUGUUCUUUUUCUUCCCUCUUAAAACAAAAAACAAAAAAAAAAGACGACAUUUACAUUUGGGCUAAUAAUUAUAACUAAACAAUUAAUAAUACUGAGGGUCAGUGGUAAUGUAGCUUUAAAAUAAUUGUUAUUAGUUGUGUCUUAAAAAUAAAGAAAAAAAAUAACUAUACCCAUAUAAUUAAUAAAAUAAUCAUGUAAAUUCCUAAGCUUUUAACAAUAUACACCAAGACCCCCUACCGUUACUUUUUACCAUUUAUUUGGAUGUCACAUGCUUUUUUUUUUUAAUUUUCACAGUGGAUAUCAAAUGCUAAAUUUACUGUUAUUCCCAUAUCAUGUCAUCACUUGCUUCUACACACAUUGAUUGUUUUUCCAAAGUUUCAAAUUGAAUUAAAAACAUUCUAAUUAACCUAAAAAAAACUCAUCCAACCAGAUAUAAAUCAUCUAAUUAACCUAAAGAUAGCUACACCCCCAUAUUAAUUCCAAUUAAAUAAAAUUCAUUUUUGUCAUGAUUUUGGAUCUCGAGCAGGGUGGAUAUAUCCAACUAGAUCCGCCCCAUUGGCAUUCCAGUAUAUUCUGUAAUUGGAAGAGUAUGAAUGACUUAAUUUGUAAUUUUAAAUUUGUAACGUUCAAUUCUAAUUUGAGGAUUCAAAUGAAUUUAUGCGAAUCUAAAAGGGGACUGAAGAUUGGCAUGCAUACAUGCAUACAUAUACAUAUAUAUAUAAAUAGAGAGAGAGAGAGAGAGAGAGAGAGAGAGAGGUAAUAUAACAUUCUUCUUGAUGAAGAUUUUUGUGCCAUACGAAUUAAAGAGAGUAUUGUGUCGAUGUUCGAGGCUAGAGCGACAAUUGGUUACAUUGCUUCAGAGGUGUUUAGUAGAAACUUUGGUGAGGCAUCACAUAAUUUAAAUUACUAGAUUUAGCGAGAUAUAUAUAUUUUCCACAUUGGAUUUACAAGCAUUUCGAGCAGUAUAAUGAAUUAAAAUUACUCGGAAUUGUAAACAGCGAGGAAAGUGAAAUUGCUAAGAAGAUGAAUAUUUUGUUGUUUUGUGGUGUACACGGACUCGUCCAUCGGAUAGGUCGCCCAUGAACAGAGGGAUAGAAAUGUUAUUGCCAAGAAGCAGACUGACUAGCAGUGACGCUUUGAAAAGUCCACCGGACAUCGUCUCCUCCAAGACCACCAAUAGAUUCUUCCACCAUUUCAACGUCGUGACGUGGGGAUCGGAAUUGAAUUAUAGGAUGCUUGUAAGUUUCCUUUGUGGAACUUGUGAAUUUGUGAUGGCAAAAGUCAAUGAUGCAUGUAACUAGCUAGCCCGUGUAGACUCCGUUUUACACUUUUUCAAAACCCAAAAGCACGCUAAAUCUUAAUCUUAAAAGAAUUUUUGAUUCAGUGCUGAAUUUUGGGCUUAUCUUUAAGUAAUCUUUUACCACGCAUGCAUUUUUGUCAUUGUGCAGUCAUCGAUUGCUUCUAAAGAUCGUAAUCCUUAAGAAAAAAUUACUUCUCUUGAAAGUGAAAGCAGGGCAGCUAUUGGCGUAUUGCAUUGCAGCUGCUAUGUGUAGUAGUCAAUUCUUGGAAACAACUAGUUUUCUUAAAUUGUAAACGGUCCCCUUUAUGACUGGGAGAUUUUGAACAAAAUUAAUAUGACGAAUUCUUUGCAGGUGUUGUUCCUUGAAGUCUCAUCUUUCACAAUGUUUCUGAAAUAAAGAUAUUACCAUCUCUGAUUUAAUAUUUAUUCUUGAUUUGUACCACCUAAUCUGAACUUGAUGAAAGAAUAAAGAUUAUGAUCUUGCCUGAUUUUAUUAAUGUGGUCUUAUCUCACGUAAGUCAGUAAUGAAUUAAGGAAAAUUAUCAUUCGUAUACCCUAUAAUUGCUCUGUUAUAAAAAAUACUACAACACUUUGAGGGUGUAUCAAUUGUCCACCCUAAGUUAACAAAAUGUAUCUGUCAUCCACCAAACCGUUAUUUGCCGUUUAAAUAGAAUGACACCAGAGGGGUAAUUUUAUCUUUUCAUAUGAUACAAGUGAUAAUUUAAGGGUAUACAAGUGAUAAUAAAAGAAUUUAAAGGUAUACAAGUGAUAAUUUUAUUUACUUUAAUUUAAGUUUCAAGGGUAAAAUCGUCAAUUCACUAUAAUUCCGUUAACUUUCAAACGGUAGCUAACGGUUUGGUGGUCGGCAGAUAGCUUUUGUUAAUUUAAGGUGGACGAUUGAUAUACUCUCAAAGUGUUGUAGUAUUUUUGAUAAUAGAGCAACUAUAGGAUAUAUGAUUGAUAAUUUCCCAUGAAUUAAUUAAAGUUUACUGUCAAAUUACAAACACAAAAACUGCUGCUGCUUCAUUAUUCACAAUACCUAAAGUCAGUGCAGAACUUAAUAAGUUUUCCAAAAGUUUUACGCUUUCUUUCCCCCAAAUCCCAAGUACUUACUAGAUAUGUCAUGUUUAUACCCAAAGUCAGUGCAGAACUUACUCGAUAUGUCAUGUUUACACAAGAGUUUGUUUAUAAAUAAAUGAGUUGACAAAUAUUUGCCAAAAAAAACGGUGAGUGAUGUCUAGUUCUAUUUUCACAGUUCAGAGUCCAAUUUUGAUUACUGGAAAUUUUAAUUAUGAAGUUGAACUAAGAAUUUGUUAUAAUAUCUUCAACCUUCCUAUACAGUCAUCUGGAAUAAUAAUAUAUCAAAAACAGUAAUAACUCGAUUUACAGGGUGAGAAAGAAAAGAAAGACGCUACGAGGGAAGCAGAGAUUCAAAGACUUCGCCACUUUGUUGGAGGAACAAUUUCAUAAAUCUCCAGAAUAUUGACAUAAAACACAUAACAUACAUAUCUAGCAUUAAGUAUAUUUAUGUAUGUCCAAAGAUAAAAAUUUGAAGAUUAAAUUUAUCAUUUCAAUUUAUGUUCUGCCCAAAGCAAUGGCUUUUAUUCCACAAGCACAAACAAGAAAGAGUACGCACAAAGUUAACAAACACACAUAGCAAACGUGACAUCAACCACUUGCAGCAGCAUCAUCCAGAAACUUCACUCUAAUCUUCUUGAGCUUUUCAGCGGCGUCUUUCGUAGAUGCCCCCUGUUCUGGUGAUUCCAUGCAACAAUCCAAUGCCGAAUGCAUGAUGCUUAAUAAACAAUUCAUUUUAGGAGAAAAAACUUGCUCUUCUCUCACCAAGUUUGCAUCGACAACAUCACUCAAGGCACGAGGUAAUGACUCCCUUACCCAGUCUCUUAAACUUAUUUCUCCUGUAAACAUUUCAUUUGUGGGAUUCUUUCUGGUGAAAGUUUCCAUCAAUAAAACACCAUAACAAUAGACAUCACCUUUGGCCGAAAUCAUUCCUUCUAAUCCUUACUCUGCAUUUUUUUGGUUUCGAUAGAUCAAAUGGAUGUGACAUCAUAAAACAAAUGAUAAACAAAUAGUCUUUUGACAGUCAAGAUGGCCCAAACUUUGACUGUGCUUCGAAAAGAGCGAAAAUUUGAAAUUAUAAUUGAAACCUUACCUGGUGCCAUAUAACCAGUUGUAGCCACUGUCAUGAUUUGGGUCACAGAAUUUUCUUCAUCACCUAAGAGUUCGGAAAUGCCGAACUCACAUGUGCCACCAUAUUUUCAUCCAAGAGAAUGUUGCUAGGCUUCAAAUCACAAUGAAUUACAGGUGCUGAUGAAUGAUCGUGAUGGAGAUAUUCAAGUGCCAGCCGCACAUCUAUCAUUAUAUUCAACCUCUCUAGGAUAUCUAGGAAAUAGUUGUGUGAACACAACCAUUUCUCAAGACUACCAUUGAGCAUGAACUCAAGCACCAGUACUUUAGAAUCUGGAUUGCAACAGCUGCUAGUGAUCUUUGUGAGAUCUUGAUGACGAACAUUCCACAAUACUUCACAUUCAGAAUCAAAACUCCUAAAGGCUCUCUCUAGCUGCAGAUUGAAAACCUUUAUUACAAUAAUAGUCACAUCAUAAAGUGUGCCUUUAUAAACAGAUCCGAAGCUCUCCAUACCUAGCAGGAUACAUUCACUAAAUCCAUCAGCUGCUCGUUGAAUAUCAUGAUAGGAUAGUCUUCUCCAUGUUGUCGAAGAGAACAAAUCUUCUUUAUCUGGAGUUCUUGUUUUCCUAUUUUGAAAUAUUAUGAAGAAUCAUAACAAUUGUUAUUAGUGCAUUGGAUAUAAUCGAAGGCAAAGUAUAUUUCAGGACAAGCAGAGUAGCAUUCUUGGAUCCUUUGCUAUUAUCUUCUUUGCAAGGUGGGACUUGAAGGCCUGGUGGACCACAUAGUGCAUAAUUCUCAAAAAACGAUUGAGCUGAAAUGUUUUUAAAAGGUCCUUUGAUAGGAAUUCCCCCUUCUAGCCUAUUGUGAGACACAUUAAGUUGUUUGAGAUAUGAGAGUGCCUCCAUUGACUUUGGAAUUUCUCCAGAGAGAUUGUUGCUAGGGAGAUCCAAAGAUUCCAACCUUAUCAAACUACCAAAUGAUUUAGGGACCAGACCAUAAAAUUGGUUUCUAGCCAAGGACAAAGUUGCUAGAUCUUUGAGGCCACCAAUACUUACUGGUAUAUCACCUGAUAAUUGAUUUCUUGAUAAAUCAACUCUAUUAAGACCUUUAAGUUUUGUACAUCUGAAGAUAGAUGACCACUUAGAGAAUUUGUUGACAAGUUUACAUACAAGAUGUACUCAAGAUUCCACAAGGAUGAUGGGAUACUAGAAGUGAGCGUGUUGCAGCUUACAAAGAGUGUUUUUAAGGAAUUGAAUAUCUGAAAUCUUGUAUGUAAAUAUUAACACUUAGAGAAUUUGUUGACAAGUUUUUAAGGAUUUACUGAUUAAAUAAUUUUCCAAUUUGUUUGCCUGGAGGAAUUGAAUAGUUAACUGAUUAAAGGAUUUCAAGGUGGUUAGGUCCAGCCGAGCAUUGUAAAUAUUAACGGUCAUUAUGAAUGUGUAAUUCCUAUAUGUGAAAUUGAAUUUCCAUGGUAAAUUUCUGCUAGGGUGUGAUUGUAUGGUAGCCAAUUGUGAGCAACAGAUCCACAUAGUAAUAUAGACUGAAAUUUUGCGUCUUAAGCCAUGAAGAUAUAGAUUUUGGCAAAUAUUAUACAAGCAUUGUUUGCAACACCACAGCUAAUUUGCAGUAGGAUGAAACACUCAGAAUUUUGCCUUUUUCAUGUAUAAAAUUUUAUUUUUUUAAUUGUGAUAUUACAGUUUUGCCCAUCAAGCAUUAUGAAGCUUAAUAUUUGGAUAAAUGUUAGGUUUAAUCUAUAAAUUUUAACUUCAGUGUUUAUUUAGUUUUUAUAUUUUGUAAAAUAUCUCAAGGCAGCCCUAUUAUCAAAUAUUGGCUUGAUCCGUAUAUAUUAACUUCAGUGCUUUAUUUAGGUUUUAUAUUUUGAAAAAUACUUUAAGGCAGUUCUAUUAUCAAAUAUGUUAUGCUCUUGCUUUUAUUUUUUCUUUGUUUUUAUAAUAAUACUCUGAUAACAAUAUUUUUUUACAUUAAUUUUUUAAUCAAUAAAAAGGUAACUAGCAAAUUAACUGAUAAAUUAAUUUGUUAAUUUUUUUAAUCAAUAAAAAAUUUAAUUAAUAAAUUACUUGGUAGCAAAUUAAAAAAUAAAUAUUAGCAUAAAACAAUUGAUAUUUUUCAUUCUCUUACAACAAUCUUACUAAUAAUUUUUUUAUAAAAAAUUAAUUUAUUAAAUUAAUCCUUAAAAGUAAAAUAAUAAUAAUUAAUUUGUAUCUUAGUUUUAAAGUUAAUUUGAUAAAUUCAAUUUUUUAAUUAAUAUCUCCAAAAAUAUAGUUGCAACGAUAUUAUUGCAAAAGUAAAAAAAAAAAUAUAUAUAGAAUUUUAAUAUAACUGCCAGUAAAAAUAACUUGAAAUAUUUUUUAAGAUAUAAAAAUUAAACCAACACUUAAUUAAAAAUAUAAAGAAUUAAAUAAACAUUUAUCUUCUAACAUUUCAACCUACUGGCUAAUGGUCAUACAAUCGUGGUGUGGUCCGGGAUGCCCGGCCCAGCCCAUCAUGCAAAAAGCCAUGUCACCCAUAUUCUUAGGCUGCUACUGCAUUAAAAAAAUGAUAUUAAUAAGCGUACGCCACGUCACUCCUCACUCUCUUCUUCGUCACUUUCCUCUCACUCAACAUUUUCUCCCCAAACAAAUUCCUUCUUUGAAAAAUCGCAUUUUCUCCUUCACAGCAACAGCUACAAUGUCUUCAACUUCCAAAAAGGUGAUUUUUUUUUAAUUUUAUUUUUUGUUUAGUUUCUUUCUGUUGCCUUUUUGUUUCGUUUUUUGAAUUUUCUGUGUCGUUUUUUUCCCCCAAGGUUUUGGUGCCUGUUGCGAACGGGAGUGAGCCGAUUGAGUCCGUGAUAACGAUCGAUGUUUUGAGAAGGUCUGGAGCUGACGUCACGGUUGCGUCUGUGGAGAAACAGCUCCGUGUCGACGCGUGUCAUGGUGUCAAGAUUGUCGCUGAUGCUCUCGUGUCUGACUGCCGCGACGCCGUUUUUGAUCUUAUAGCUCUUCCCGUAUGUAUUGCAGCUCUCCUCAGCUCGUGCUAAUUUAUGUGAUGUUUGUAUAAUUAUAGAUGAUUACUGCUGAUACUGAAUGUUAAGCUAAAUAAUUCGUUCUUAAGUCAUCUUCAUUUAAUUUUCGAUUGAAAAUGAAAAAAAUAAUAAUUUUAAGCAAAGAAAAAUAUAGAAAAUGUUUAUUUUGUUUAAUUUUCAAUUUUUAAUUUUCAGGGAUUUCAUUAUUGUGACUGUUAUCAUUCAUUAUAUGGUCAUAGUUAAAUGUUUCAAAUUGUUGUAGUCAGUGAAAUUCUUUUCGAUAUUUAUUCUGGCAUGUAUAUUUUUCCUUUUCAAUUUCUUUUGUUGCUGAUUCUUUGAUUAUGUUAUAUCCUUUUUUGUUUCCCUUGUAGGGUGGCAUGCCCGGUGCUACCAAUCUGAAGGAAUCUGAAGUAUUAGAAAGCAUUGUGAAGAAGCAGGCCUCAGCUGGGCGUCUUUAUGCUGCUGUCUGUGCUUCACCUGCUGUGGCAUUAGGGUCUUGGGGUCUGUUGAAGGGAUUGAAGGUAAGAGUUAGAUAAGCCUUUUUGAUGUUUUGUGGUCUUUUGGGAAUUGCACUGAUAUUUUUGUUAUGGUUCAGUUUUCUUCUCGCUGAUGAUUGUUAAGUUCUAAUUUAUGUAGUUGUUCAUUUUUCCUAGGCUACUUGUUAUCCGUCAUUUAUGGAGCAACUAGCUCCUGCUUGUGCAGCAUGUUGAAUCAAGAGUACAGCAGGAUGGUAAAGUUGUUACGAGUCGUGGACCGGGCACUACCAUGGAGUUUGCCGUUGCACUUGUUGAGCAGUUGUAUGGGAAAGAGAAAGCUGAUGAAGUUUCUGGGCCACUGGUAUUAGCUUUUAUAGAUAACGUUGUUUAAAAAAAUUAUGAGUUAUAUAAUUUGUGGAAGCUUCAGAUGCUAAUGUAUUCAAGAAAAUAAGUUCAGGGGAAGAGUAUGACUUUUUGCAUUAGUGAUUCAUUAGAUGAAAUUGUAUACCUGCUGGUCCAUCAUAAGGUGGUGAAAACAAUGUUUGAUUUAAUUAAUGAAAUCCUGAAAUAUGCAUUUGUUGAGCUUCAAUGUCUCCACUGAUAAAAUUCUUUUUAAUGUAAGUUCUUUCUCUUGGUAUUGUAUUUGAAUUUUCUGUUCCUCAUGCUUUCGUCUUUACUGUCACCUUGUGCCUAGGUAAUGCGUGCAAAUCAUGGAGAUGAAUACACUAUUGCUGAGUUCAAUCCAAUUCAGUGGACAUUUGACAAUUCUCCUCAGGUGAGAUUGGACUGUUAGUUUCUUGUAUUUGUUUUUCUUCUUCCAUGUUUUGAGGGAUACCCAUUUGGCAGUAAAUAAAAAUCUGUGAUAUCUUCUAUACAUGUACAUAUACAUCAUUGACUUCACUCAUUUGUGAACAUAUUGGAGGUAGUAGAUUUAUUGUUAUGAUAUGUCUAAUAAAAUCCAAAGUUCGAUGCAACUACAAAAGAAGUAUGAGCAGUGCUCGACCAGAGAGGAAAAAGGUGGUUUUUUUCUUUUUUUUUUUUGGGGGGGGGGGGGGGGUUGGUUGGGUGGCAAAGGGAAUGAUAAGUUCAGGGUAUCAACAAGCUGUAAAAUGGCUAUCGAAAAACUGAUAUUUCACAUUAGAGAAUGUGAGGACCUGAAGAUUGCUGACUUGUGGUCAAAAUGGAAUUCUUGAUAACUUUAAAUGUUAAAAAUUCUUGGUGAAAAUUUUGUACUUUUUUUUCUUUCAGAUUCUUGUGCCUAUUGCGAAUGGUUCAGAGGAGAUGGAAGCUGUUAUAAUAAUUGAUAUUCUGCGACGAGCUAAAGCAAAUGUUGUGGUUGCGUCAGUUGAGGAUAAACUAGAAAUUCUGGCUUCUCGUCAAGUUAAAUUAGUGGCAGAUAUGCUUAUUGAUGAGGCAGCUAAACUUUCGUAUGAUUUGAUUGUCUUGCCAGUAAGUGGGGUUGCUAACUCUUGCCUCAUAGUCUUUACCAAAUUAUUGACUUACUAGCUACAAUUUAUCUAUGCACAGGGUGGACUUGGUGGUGCUCAAGCAUUUGCGAAGUCAGAAAAAUUGGUAAAUAUGCUAAAGAAGCAAAAGGAAUCAAAUAGACCUUACGGUGCUAUAUGUGCAUCCCCAGCACUAGUGUUGGAGCCCCAUGGCUUACUCAAGGUAUGACCAUUUCUGCUUAAAUAUUUAUUCUUGAUUUGAAUCACCUAAUCUGAACUUGAUAAAACAUUGUGAUCUUGUGUGAUUUUAUGAACGUGGUCUUAUCUCAUGUAAGUCUGUAAUGAAUUUAUUGAAGUUUGCUGACAAAUUACAAACUCAAAAACUGCUGCUGCUUCAUUAGUUACAGUACCCAAGGAGUUAUGAUAGACAUCCCAAACUUUUUACCCCAAAUUCCCUCUCAAAUGACAUGGUAGUUAUUAAGUGGUUGGUAAUUUUUUAUAAGAUAUAAGUGAAUUAAUUAAUUAUAUUAUUUAAUCAACCAAUUGAUGAAUGUCACGCCAUUUGAGAUGAAUUUUUGGGAUGUGUAGCAAAACUUUAUGCUGAUUUGUUUUGGCUACAUUCAUGUAAAACAUUUUUCCCCAAAUCCCAAGAACUUCCCGCAAUAUCAUUCCUUUGUAUUUGUUUUCCCCUUUAGACAUGUUUAACUUUGGUUCAGGGUAAAAAGGCUACGGCUUUUCCUGCCAUGUGCAACAAGCUAUCAGAUCAAAGUGAAAUCGAAAACAGGGUUGUGGUUGAUGGCAACCUUAUCACCAGCAGAGGGCCAGGAACUUCCAUGGAGUUUGCACUGGCAAUUGUGGAGAAGUUUUUUGGCCGCAACAAAGCACUUGAGCUUGCAAAGAUAUUGCUUUUCACCCGCACCUAAAAUUUGUACCAGGACCCGACUAAUAUUAAACUAGAGUGUUUAUUUCUGUAUUACUACUGCUUGUAGAGAGGCGAAAUGGAAACUUGAAUUCAUGUUUGAAUAGGGAUUCACUGUGCGGGUUUGUACAAGAGCUUGUUUAUAAAUAAAUGAGUUCAUAAAGAGUCAUUUUAAAUAUUUGGAAUAAACGUGAGUUGCUGUUUAGUUCUGUUUUCAAUGUUCACCGUUCAAUUGUGAUCCAGAGCAAUAUAACUACACUCACUGGGAAUUUUAAUUAUGAACCAAGAACGAAGUUGAACCGAGAAUUUGAUACUUUAUAUAUUCCAGUUACCAUAUUUAAGAAAGAGUAUUGAAAAGAAAGACGCUAAGAGAGAAUAUUGAAGUUAAACAGAUACCAUAUCUAGUAUUAAGUCUGUAUGCCAAAGUUACAAAUUCGAAGAUCAGAUUCCUCAUUUCAAUUUAUGUUCUGCUCAAAACAAUGGCUCUUAUUCCACAAGCACAAACAAGAAAGAGUACGAACAAAGUUAACAGAGACACGCAGUGAAAAUUACGCUAAUUGGUUGCAGCAGCAUCAUCCAGGAACUUCACUUUAAUCCUCUUGAGCUUUGCUGCAGCGUCUGUCAUAUUUAUCCUCAUGUCGGGUGACUCCAUACAACAAUCCAAUGCCAAAUCCAUUAUGCUUAAUAUACAAUCCAUUUUGGCAGAAAAAGCUUGCUCUUCUCGCACCAAAUUUGCGUCAACAACUUCACUCAAUCCGUGAGGUAAUGACUCCUUUACCCAUGUCCUUAAACUCGUUUCUCCUGUGAACAUUUCAUCGGUGGGCCUCUUUCUCGUGAAAGUUUCCAUUAAUAAAACACCAUAGCUGUAGACAUCACAUUUAGCUGAAACAAUUCCUUCUGAUCCAUACUCUGCAUUUUUUUUAAUUUCAAUUAUGAAACAAAUGAUAAAACAAAUAAGUUUUUGAUAAUUAAGGUAACCCAAACUUUGCUCGUACUUGAAAAAAGAGUAAAAAUUUUAAUUACAAUUGAAACUUUACCUGGUGCCAUAUAACCAAUUGUAGCCAUUGUCAUGGUUUGUGUCACAGAAUCUUCUUCUUCACCUAAGAGUUUGGAAAUGCCGAAGUCGCUCACAUGUGCCACCAUAUUUUCAUCCAAGAGAAUGUUGGGAGGCUUCAAAUCACAAUGAAUUAUAGGUGCCGACGAAUGACCAUGAUGGAGAUAUUCAAGAGCCGACCCCACAUCUAUCAUUAUAUUCAACCUCUCUAGAAUGUCUAAGAAAUAGUUGUGAGAAUACAACCACUUCUCGAGACUACCAUUUGGCAUGAACUCAAGUACCAAUGCUUUAAAAUCUGGAUUAGAACAACUGCUAAGGAUCUUUAUGAGAUUUCGAUGACGAACAUUCUGUAAAACUUCACAUUCAGAAUCAAAACUCCUAAAUGCUCUCUCUAGUUGCAGAUUGAAAACCUUUAUCGCAACAUCAGUCCCGUCGGAAAUGGUUCCUUUAUAAACUGAUCCAAAGCUACCUGUACCAAGCAAGUUACAUUCAUUAAAUUCAUCAGUUGCUCGUUGAAUGUCUAGGUACGAUGUUCUUCUCCAUGUUGCAAGAGAUAGGAAAUCUUCGUGAUCUGAUUUUCUUGUACUUCUAUUUCGGCAUCUUCUGUACAUAAUGAUGGUAAUCACUAUAAGGACCGUGGAUACUAUCGGAGGCAAAAUAUAUUUAAGGACAAUUAGAGCAACUUUCUUGGUUCUUUUGCUGUUAUCUUGCUUGCAAGGUGGGACUCGAAGUUUAGGUGGACCACAGAGUGCAUAAUUUCCAAAAAAUGAUUCAGCUGACUAGUUUUUAAAAGACCCCUUAACAGGAAUUUCCCCUUCUAGCAUAUUUUGAGACACAUUAAAUUGUUUGAGAUGUGAAAGUGCCUCCAAUGACUUAGGAAUUUUUCCAGAGAAAUUGUUGCCGGAGAGAUCUAAGGAUUCUAAGCUUAUCAAACUGCCAACUGAUUCAGGGAUAGGUCCUUGAAAUUGAUUACUAGCCAAGGAUAGAGUUUCUAGAUCUACGAGGGCACCAAUGGUUGAUGGAAUAUUACCUGAUAAUUGAUUCCUUGAUAAAUCUAAAACUCUCAAGACCUUUAACUUUUGUACAUUGGAAGGGAGAGAAUCAUUUAAUGAAUUUGACGACAAGUUUAUCUCUAAGAUGUACUCAAGGCUCCACAAGGAUGACGGUAUACUAGAAGUGAGCUUGUUGGAGCCUAAGCGGAGUUCUCUUAGAGAUGUCAAACUCGCCAAGCAUGGCGGUAUAUGUCCAGAGAGCUUAUUUCCAUUUAACCUUAUUCCGUACAUCAACUCCAAGUGGCAAAGAUCAUAGGGAAUGGAUCCUUCCAAAUUAUUGUCUUCAAGAGAUAAACCUUGUAGCUGCUGUAAUGUUCCUACAGAUGUUGGAAUAGUUCCGUUCAAGUCAUUGAAGUCGAGGGUUAAGAGGAUCAAGCCACGUAAAUUACCAAUUUCUUUAGGAAUGCUGCCCCCGAGUUUGCACUCGUAAGCAUAAAAGCUUUGAAGAGAAGCAGAGAAAUUUCCAAUUAAUGGUGGAAGGAUGCCACCUAAUGGAUUAGAAUCUAAGACUAAAUAGGAUAGCUUUCUACAAUUAGUCAAAGAAGAGAGAAAACUCCACUGAUCUGCUGAAGAUGAUUCUGUCGUCAAGUUAUUCGUUCGUAUGCUGAGCACGUUGAGGUGCCUCAAGUUGCCAAAUGUAUUUGGUAUAUGGCCUGAGAAUGAGUUAGAGCCCAAGUCUAGACCAAUGAGUUUGGAAGCAUUGGUAAGAGAGUCAGGAAUUGUCCCGAUAAGAUUAUUGAUCGCCAAGGUUAAAUACUCUAUGUUCGGAAGCGAGUGGCCUAUCGUUGAUGGUAGGCGGCCUGAGAAUUGGUUGCUGUGUAGAUUAAGGACUCUUAUGGUUGAAAUAUUGAAGAUCGCGGGUGGAAUGAGGCCACUUAAAUUAUUCGUACCAAGAGCAAGACUCUCCAAAUUUUGUAGAUUGCCAAUCUCGGUUGGAAUUUGAUCUGUCAUAUCGAUUAAACCAACAUUGAUGAGUUAUUGAAUUUUUUGCUAAACAUAAAUUUAAUUUCAAAAUUCAUGAAAAUCAAAAUUUCCCACAAAAUAUGUGUUAUUAGUUUUAUAAUAAUUUAGGGGGUAAUGAUAUUUCUACCCCAUGAUUUUUGUAAAACACACAUGCUUUUAGAAAAUUAUUACCGCAAGAUCACAUUAUUCUUAAAAAUUCAAAUUAAGAAGAAGUUUCUAGAAUUAAUCAAUUAAAUCCAUAUUAAUUUAUAUUUGAAACUUAUAUUCUUUUAUUAUAUUUAAGUACUAAGGUUGUUUUAACAUAAAUUUAAUUGACUAUUUUACCCUCCUAAGGUAAAAGUACUAAAAUCCUCAAAAAUUUACUUCAACUAAACUAACAAAAUGUAUUUAUGACCUAUGGGGCAUUAAAAAUAUUGAAUUUUAUUUUUAAAAUAUUAUAUUACAAAACAUAAAACUAUAUGCUAGAUACUAUAGUACAUGUUUCUUGGGGUAAUAUAGUCAUUUUACAUUAUAAGGAUGAAAUAGUCAAAUUAAACUUAACUUGAAGCACCCGUAAAUGCCAAAAAUUGUUAAAAGACCUAAGUCAUAAAAGAAAAUUAUUAUCAGAAUAAUUUAUUUAGUUAAUUAUCUGACUUAUUGUUAAUUUAUAAUUUUAUAAGCUAUUGUGAACUUAUUGCAAUUAUCUAAUGGAGAUGAGGGGGGGUUUUGCAAGAAUAUGAGCGGCAGUAUUGCCACUCUAUAAAAUAAAAAGAAUUAUGCAGUCAUGCAAAUGCAAAUAUGCUGAACUUACCUUGCAGGUUGUUAUGACGAAGAUCCAAAUCAAAAAGGUUGCUCAAAUUUCCUAUCCCUGAAGGAAUAUUUCCAUCAAUAACGUUGAAACUUGCUUGUAACAUCUCCAAUUUCGAUAAGUUGAAGAGAGAAUUUGGGAUUGGACCCGUGAUAUUGUUAUUACGAAGACUCAUUAUUUGUAAUUUGGAUAAGACACCAAUCCAAGUUGGAAUGCUUCCACUCAAUUUAUUGAAACUGAAACUAAUGAAUUUGAGUCGGCCUAAUUUCCCCAAUUCAUUAGGUAGAUGGCCAUAAAAAUUGUUCAAAGUAACAUCAAGAGACAUUAGGAAUGAGAGAUUUCCCAGGUGUGGGGGAAUAGUGCCUCCGAGACCCAUGCCUGAAAGAUUUAAAGCCUUGACUCUUUGAUGGCGUGAAUCACAAGAAAUACCAACCCAGCUGCAUAUUGGAUGAGAUAUAGACCAAUUAUUUGCUAGGACACUCCGAUAAUCACCGACGUGGGCUUUGAAUGCAAGAAGAGCUGAUUGAUCUGUUAAAUUGUUUAAAGUCGUCGUAGCUAAGUUAGCUAUGGAAUAUUGUAACAACAUAGGAACAAAGAAGAACGAUAGGCGCAUAUUGGUCGUUUUUAAUAGAUACAGCAACAUAAUUGCUAGGUGAGAUUGAAACAAGUUUGAAGUGAAGGAAAUUAGCAUAUACUUAUACAAGAGACAUGAAUUUGAAAACAAGAAAAGAAAAAAUAUACAGGAGACUUGCAAACUGUUAUAUUUUGUCAUUAAGCGAGUCGUCCAAGUAAACGCACGUAUGGACUUGCAAAUUGUUAAACGUCGCUGUACUUGAACCGUAAACAAAGGGUGUGUUUGGUUGGAGGAUUAAAAGUGGGGAUUAGACACUUUUUUUUUUUUUUAAAUUUUAUCCUUAUCUCAUGUUUGGUGCUGUCAAGGGUAUUAGGAUUUAGUUAUCUUGAACUCACAAGCUAAUCUUAAUUUUGUAAAGGAAAUUAUCCCAAGAGGGGUCAUGGGAUUAGUUAGUAUUGGAUUAUAUUGAUAACUCAAUUAAACAUAAUAAUUUAUAAAUAUUAAAAUUAUAGUAAUAUGUGAUAAAUGUAAUAAAAAAAUAUUGAUUUUAAUAAUGUAAAUAAUAAAUUAUACUAAAAAUCAUUAUUAAUUUCACAUUAAAUUAAAAUUCUAUUUUACUUUAUUUAAUUAUUAAAUAUUUUUUAUAAUUCCAAAUUUACGUUAUAAAUUAAUUAUUAAAUUAGUAUUCAAAAAGAUAAAUUUUUAUAAAAUAAUAGAUUAUUGAAUAAAUAUCAUAUAAAUAUCAUAUACAUAUUUAACAAAAUAAUAAUUAUUUAAAUUAUGAUUUCUAUUUCUUUAACGUCAUUGAGGUUGAUUUGUAUAAUUAAUAAUACAAAAUUUUAGUUUAUAAUAAUAUUAAUAAUAAUAAUAACUUGUAAAUUGUAAUAUUAUAAUGUAAAACAUGAUUAUUUAUAGUCCAAUCUAAUAUUGUACCAAACACAAUAUAGUAUUAUAUAUAAUCCACUAUUAUUCAAUCCAAUUCAAUUUUAUCCAAUUUAAUCUAAUCUAAUUCAAUCAAAUCCGGCGGACCAAACCAGCCCAAAGGGUUUAUGGCCCUUUACUUACCAAACAGAAAAAGAUGCUCAACAUUGACAUCUUUGACCCAAUCCAAAUCUAAUCCAUACAUCUGCGGAUCAGAUGCAGAUUUAACCUAAUCCAUAUCCAAUCCACCAUUUUACGGAUUGGUUUGUAGACUGAAAAAUAUUAUAAGAAUAAUUUAUUAAUUGUUCAGACUUAAUUUAUAAUUCUAUAAGAUAAUGUGAACUUAUUAUAACUAUCUUAUCAAAAUGAGGUGGGAUUGCAAGAAUAAUGAGUAGAAAUAUCCCCAACCGAUAAAAUAAAAAGAAUUUUACAGCUAUACAAAUGCAAAUAUGUAGAACGUACCUUGUAGGUUGUUAUAAGCUAGAUUCAGAUACAAAAGAUUGCUAAAAUUUCCUAUCGCUGAAGGAAUAUUUCCAUCAAUGACGUUGUACGUUGCGUGUAACGCCUUCAGCCUCGAUUAAUUGAAGAGAGAAUUUGGGAUUGGACCCGUGAAACUGUUAUUACGAAGACUCAACACUUGUAAUUUGGAUAAGACGCCAAUCCAUGUUGCAAUGCUCCCACUCAAUUUAUUGAAAGUGAAACUAAUGAAUAUGAGUCGGCGUAAUUGCCCCAAUUCAUUAGGUAGAUUGCCAAGAAAAUUGUUCAGGCUAACAUCAAGAGAUUCAAAUGAAUUUUUGAUGGCGCGAACCGCAAGAAAUGCCAAUCCAGGUACACAUUGGAUAAGAUAUAGACCAAUUAUUUGUCAGGAUACUUCGAUAAUCAACGACACGGGCUUUGCAUGCAAGAAGAGCCGAUUGAUCGGUUGUUAAGAUGCAAUAGUGAGUAGUGAAAGUGGUUUGAGGUGGAGAUGCACCGGGAUCUACGGCCAUCCUGAGUUCAGCCAGAAGCAUAAUACUUGGACUCUCAUGAAAAGGUUAGCCAGCCUAUUUUCCUAUCCUUGGUGCUGUUUUGGUGAUUUUCAAUGAGAUAAUGCAUAUGCAUGAGAAAAACGGGGGCAAUGAGAGAAACCUGAAUAGGGUUGCCGAGUUUAGGGAAGCUGUGCAAAGCUGCAAUUUGCAGGAUAUGGGGUGUAAGGGAUAUCCCUAUACGUGGUCAAACAAAAGAUACAGAGAUCAUUUUAUUGAUGAGAGAUUGGACCGUUUUCUGUGUAGUAAAGAUUGGGGGAUUAAUUUUCAAGAAUCUGUAGGCACAAAUCUAGUGAACUGGUCUUCGGACCACUGCCCAAUCAUUCUAGAUUUCCAUGAGCGAAGCCAAAAUUCGAGACAUGCGGGCAAAUCUCUCCCCCGAGAUUAUUAUGAGGAUAUGUGGAGCUCCCACGAAGGCUGUAGGAGUAUAGUCCAGGAAGAGUGGAGCCGGUAUGGGGCUAGAGCUUGGGAAGCCCCUGUUCAGCAAUUUCAAUGAAUAGCCAAAUCUUCCUUGGCCCAGCUAAAACUUUAGAGCAAAACCGAAUUUCAUGGUAGGCAAAGAAAGUAAGAAAAGCUUAUGCAGAGCCUCCAGGAUGCUAUGAGAGGGAAUUCAAAGCUGGAUGAUGGCCAGGAAAUUAGGAGAUUGGAAAGUCAGAUUAACUCUAUGCUAGUUGAUGAGGAGAUUUACUAGAAACAGCGUUCGAGGGCCGACUGGCUUAGAGAAGGGGAUAAGAACACGAAGUAUUUUCACGCCAAAGCAUCUGCCCGCAAAAGGAAGAACAAGGUGUGGGGGAUUGAGAAUGACCAGGGCAUUUGGUUGAAGGAAAGGGAUGAAAUAGAGGAGGAGAUUUGCAGCCAUUUCCAAAAGCUUUUCACUACUUCCAGCCCGACUCCAAGCCAAAUCCAAGCAACCCUUCAAGGCAUGACAACAAAAGUAACUCCGGAGAUGAAUGUUCAGCUGGAGAAGCCGUUCACCGCUGAAGAUGUUGAGGAAGCCCUUGCCAACAUGUGUCCCACAAAGGCCCCAGGGCCUGAUGGUCUUCCAGCUGCCUUCUUCCAGAAGCAUUGGAAAUCUGUCCGUAACAGAGUGAUCUCAACGUGCCUUAAUGUCCUUAAUGAGCAAGGUAACCCAUCUACCCUCAAUCACACCUUUAUAGCUUUGAUUCCAAAAAUUGCAAAUCCUAGGAAAGUGAGUGAUUAUAGACCUAUCAGCCUCUGUAAUGUUAUUUAUAGAGUUGUAGCUAAGGCCAUUGCAAAUAGAAUGAAGCCGAUCUUUUCCCAAAUCAUCUCCCCUAUGCAAAGUGCAUUCAUCCCCAAUAGGCUCAUUACCGACAAUGUUAUUAUUGGUUAUGAAUGCCUUCAUAAAAUUAGGCAUAGCAAAGGGAAGAAGAACGGACUUGUAGCUUUAAAAUUGGAUAUAAGUAAGGCUUAUGAUAGAGUUGAGUGGCCUUUUUUGGAACAAACUAUGCUAAAGAUGGGGUUUCCUAGUAAUUGGGUAGCUCUGAUAAUGAGAUGUGUUAUUUCCACUUCAUUCUCGGUGCUAAUUAAUGGUGUGCCAAAAGGAAUGAUCCAGCCAAAAAGAGGCUUGCGACAGGGCUGCCCGCUAUCCCCGUACCUUUUUAUCCUUUGUGCAGAGGCUCUCUCCAAUUUGCUGGUUGUGGCAGAACAGAACCAGCUAAUCCAAGGGCUCAAAUUUGCGCGGGAAGUUUCAAUUACGCACUUGCUGUUUGCGGACGAUAGCUUGGUAUUCUCUCGUGCAUCAGUGGCUGAAUGCAGGCAUUUAAAAGAAAUGUUUGAUAAAUAUGCUGCAGCAUCAGGGCAGAUUUUUAAUUUUCAGAAAUCCUCACUGUUCUUCAGUGGAAAAAUUCCAGAGCAUCAACGGGCUGCUAUAAGGGGUAUCUUUAAUCUAAAUGUAGUCUCAAAGCAUGAGAAAUACCUUGGCCUACCAUCAAUGAUUGGGAGAAAGAAGAUGGGGUUCUGUAACGACAUCAAGCUGAAAGUGUUGAACAAGAUUGCAGGAUGGCAGCAUAAAAUGUUGUCUAGUGGGGGGAAGGAAGUUCUGAUCAAAGCGGCAGCCCAAGCAAUUCCGGCGUAUGCAAUGAGUGUUUUCAAGCUCCCAAGAGGCUUUUGUGAUGAUAUUCAGCGAGCUAUAGCGAAGUUCUGGUGGGGCUCGAAAGGGGAUAAGCACGGAAUCCAUUGGCGAAAAUGGGAGAAGCUCAGCCAGGCAAAGAUUAGAGGGGGGCGGGGAUUUCGAGAGUUUUCUUGCUUCAAUCAAGCGCUGGUAGCUAAGCAAGCUUGGAGGUUACUGCAGUACCCAAAUUCGCUGGUCUCCAAAGUCCUUCAAGCAAGAUAUUUCAGGAAUUCCAGCUUUUUAUGUGCAAAGGCAGGAGCCAAUGCCUCGUAUAUUUGGAGAAGCAUCAUGUGGGGUAGGCAGGUGAUUAAGAAGGGUAUGAGAUGGCAGAUAGGUAAUGGCAAGAAGGUAGCAAUUUUCUCGGAUAACUGGCUGCCAAGACCAGAGACCUUCAGACCUAUCUUCCCUCCAUCUUUGCCCGUAAGCUCAGUUGUUGCAGAUUUAAUUAAGGCUGAUAAUCAAUGGGAUGAAAUAAAGCUUCGACAGCACUUCAUGGAUGUAGACACAGCAGAGAUCCUCAAGAUUCCCCUCCCAACUGAGAAAGAAGAAGAUGGAGUGCUUUGGGAUUACGACAAAAGAGGGAACUACUCUGUCAAGAGUGGGUAUCAGCUAGCAUUGAGAUCAAAAUUUCCAGAUUCCACCAGCUGCACAGAGGCUUCCCACAAGUACUGGAGUGCCCUUUGGACACUGGAGUUGCCUGCGAAGCUUAAAAUUUUCAUGUGGAGGGCCUCUAAUAAUCUGCUUCCAUCGGUGGAAAAUCUGUGGAAAAGGAAGGUAGUGGAGGAGCCAACUUGUAAGCGAUGCAAACUGAGUGUUGAGACUAUCAGCCAUGCUCUCUUGGAGUGUAAGGUAGCGAGAAAAAUUUGGCUCCAAUCCCCCUUUUCAGGCCUUAGAUUAGAAGCCAAUUCUCAGGACAUUUUCAGCACUUUGCAAAAUAUGGCUAAGGAGAUGAGGAAAUCAGAUCUGGAAUUAAUGGUAGCUCUGUGUUGGUCUGCCUGGUAUGCUAGGAACAAAUGUAUCUUCGAUGGCAGGGAGAUUAAUCCUAUUAUAUCAGCUGCUAAAGCGGAGUCUGUUUUGUCAGCUUUUCAGAGAGUUAGGAAGCCCCAGCAAGCUCACAUCUCUAUCUUCAUAAAAGAGAAGCAGCAGGAGUGGCUCCCCCCUCCCCCGAAUGUUUUUAAAGUUAAUGUGGAUGCUGCUCUUAAUUCAAAGAAUCUGAGUGCAGGAGUGGGAACUGUGAUUAGAGACUCUAAUGGAAAGAUAGUUGCGGCUGGGGUAAAUCAGAACCUCCUAAAGGGGUCAGCUAGCUUGGCUGAAGCAGAGGCGGUGCUUUGGGGCCUUCAGCUGGCGAGAAAGGCGGAUGUAUCCUCUUUGAUUAUUGAGUCUGAUUGUUUAGAGGUGGUCCAGCUAGUGAACAACACCAAGGGCAGCAGAUCAGAAAUUUUUUGGACAAUUCUGGCAAUCCAAAACCAGAUGAAGAACUUCCAGAAAGUGGUUGUCAAUCACAUUCCAAGACAUUGUAAUGCUUGUGCCCAUUACCUAGCUAAGAUAGCUUUGGGGAAAAUCUCUCCCUGUAUGUGGCUGGGAAAUAUUCCAGCUGAAUUGUAUGGUAUUAUCAAGGUGUUGUGAUUAAUGAAAGGUUUACUUUCUUUUCAAAAAAAAGAAGAAUGAUAAGCGCAUAUUGGUCUUUUUUUUUAGAUGCGUCCAUCUAAUUGCUAAGUGAAGUUGAUACAAGUUUUAAGUGAAGGAAAUUAGCAUAUGCAUAUACAAGAGGCGUAUGAAUUUUGAUAACAAGAAAAGAAAACAAUAUACAGGAGAGUGGAGGCUUGCAAAUUGUUAUAUUUCAUUAUUUAGCGAGUCGUCCGAGUAAACGCGUAUAGACUUUUAAAUUGUUAUACGCCGCCGUACUUGAACCGUGAAUAAAGGGCUUAUGGCACUUGAGUUACCAAAAAGAAGAAGAUGCUCAACAUUGGCAAGGCCUAUGCAUUCUGUCCAUUUGUUCACGUUUUGCCGAGGCUCAUGGCAACCACAAUAUGUUCUUUUUCUUUCCUCUAAAAAACAAAAAGACGACCUUCACAUUUGGGCUAAUAAUUAUCACUAAACAAUUAAUAAUGCUGAGGGCUAGUGGUAAUGUAGCUUUAAAAUAAUUGUUAUUAGUUGCGCCUUAAAAAUAAAGAAAUAAAGAUAGUUAUACUAUACCCCCACAAUUUAAUAAAAUAAUCAUGUAAAUUUCUAAACUUUUAACAAUAUACACCAAGACCCCUUAUGUUACUUUUUACCAUUUAUUUGGAUGUCACAUGCUUUUUUUUUUUUUUUUUUAAAUUUUUCACUGCAGAAAUUAAAUGCUAAAUUUACUGUUAUUCCCAUAUCAUGUCAUCGCUUGCUUCUACACAUAUUGAUUGUUUUUCCAAAGUUUAAAAUUGAAUUAAAAACAUUCUAAUUAACCUAAAAAUUAAAAAAAAAACUCAUCCAACCAGAUAUAAAUCUUCUAAUUAACCUAAAGAUAAGCUACACCCCCAUAUUAAUUCCAAUUAAAUAAAUCUUCAUUUUUGUCAUGGUUUUGGAUCUCGAGCAGGGUGGAUACAUCCAACCAGAUCCGCCCCAUUGGCAUUCCAAUAUAUUAUGGAAUUGGAAGAGUAUCAAUGACUUAAUUUGUAAUUUUAAAUUUGUAACGUAUAAUUCUAAUUUAAGGAUUCAAAUUAAUUUAUGCGGAUCUAAAAGGGGACUGAUGAUGGGCAUGCAUACAUACAUGCAUACAUAUAUUUACAUAGAGAGAGAGAGAGUGAGGUAAUAUAACAUUCUUCUUGAUGAAGAUUUUUGUGCCAUACGCAUUAAAGAGAGUAUUGUGUCGAUGUUGGAGGCUAGAGGGACAAGUGGUUACAUUGCUUCAGAGGUGUUUAGUAGAAACUUUGGUGAGGCAUCACAUAAUUUAAACUACUAGAUUUAGCGAGAUAUAUAUAUUUUCCACAUUGGAUUUACAAGCAUUUGGAGCAGGAUAAUGAAUUUAAAUUACUCGGAAUUGUAAACAGCGGAAAGUGAAAUUGCUAAGAAGAUGAAUAUUGUUGUUUUGUGGUGUAUACGGACUCGUCCAUCGGAUAGGUCGCCCAUGAACAGAGUGAUAGAAAUGUUAUUGCAAAGAAGCAGACUGACUAGCAGUGACGCUUUGAAUAAAUCCACCAAACAUCUUCUCCUACAAGACCACCAAUAUAUUCUUCCACCAUUCAACGUCGUGAUGUGGGGAUCAGAAUUGAAUUAUAGGAUGCUUGUAAGUUUCCUUUGUGGAACUUGUGAAUUUGUGAUGGCAAAAGUCAAUGAUGCAUGUAACUAGCCGGCCCGUGUAGAGGCCGUUUGACUCAUAAAUAUUUGUCACUUUCACUCUUUUUCAAAACCCAAAAGCACGCUAAAGCUUAAUCUAAAAAGAAUUUUUGAUUUAGUGCUGACAUUUUGGGCUCACCUUUGAGUAAUGUUUUACCACGCAUGCAUUUAUGUCAUUGUGCGGUCAUCCUUUACUUCUAAAGAUCGUAAUCUUUAAGAAAAAAUUACUUCUUUUGAAAGUGAAAGCAGGCCAGCUAUUGGCGUAUUGCAUUGAAGCUGCUAUGUGUAGUAGUCAAUUCUUGGAAAGAACUAGUUUUCUUAAAUUGUAAAUGGUCCCCUUUAUGACUGGGAGAUUUUGAACAAAAUUAAUAUGAUGAAUUCUUAGCAAGUGUUGUUCCUUGAAGUCUCAUCUUUCACAAUGUUUUUGAAAUAAAGAUAUUACCAUCUCUGACUAAAGAUUUACUCUUGAUUUGGACCACCUAAUCUGAACUUGAUGGAUGAUUAUGAUCUUGCCUAAUUUUAUGGAUGUGGUCUUAUCUCACGUAAGUCAGUAAUGAAUUAAUUAAAGUUUACUGUCAAAUUAUGAACUGAAAAACUGCUGCUACUUCAUUAUUCACAAUGCCCAAAUUCAGUGCAGAACUGAUUAUAAGUUUUCCGAAAGUUUUACGCUUUCUUUCCCCCAAAUCCCAAGUACUUCCUGUAAUAUCAUUCCCCUAUAGAUGUCUUCCCCUGAGACAUUUUUAACUUUGGUUCAGGGUAACAAAGCUAUAGCUUUUCCUGUCGUGUGCAACAAGCUAUUAAAUUAGAGUAUUUAUUUCUGUAUUACUACUAGUAGUAAGAGAGGCGAAAUGGAAUCUUGAAUUCAUGUUUAUACAACAGUUUGUUUAUAAAUAAAUGAGUUGAUAACAAGUCAUUUUAAAUAUUUGCAAAAAAAAAAACGGUGAGUGAUGUCUAGUUCUAUUUUCAAUGUUCAGAGUCGAAUUUUGAUUACUGAAAAUUUUAAUUUAUGAAGUUGAACUAAGAAUUUGUUAUAAUAUAUUCCACCUUCCUAUACAGUCAUCUGGAAUAAUAAUAUAUCAAAAACAGUAAUAACUUGAUUUACAGGGUGAGAAAGAAAAGAAAGACGCUACGAGGGAAGCAGAGAUUCAAAGACUUCGCUACUUUGUUGGAGGAACAAUUUCAUAAAUCUCCAGAAUAUUGACAUAAAACACAGAACAUAUCUAGCAUUAAGUAUAUUUAUGUAUGUCCAAAGAUAAAAAUUCGAAGAUUAGAUUUAUCAUUUCAAUUUAUGUUCCGCCCAAAGCAAUGGCUUUUAUUCCACAAGCACAAACAAGAAAGAGUACACAAAGUUAACAAACACACAUGUUGAUGCGAGAUUCUGGUUGUCCUCGUUCUACGACCAGGGUCUCUGCUCGAUCAACUUCACCACGACCAGGAUCUCUCCUCGUAAAGCUUCUUCUCCAGAGGUUCCUGCGCACACAGACAGGUCAGAGUACGCCGGUUUUUUUCCCGGCGCAAACCCUCCAACGCUCAAGUCAGAAAUAGGGGUUCUGGGAAUGUUUGCCACGAAUCUUAUGGCUUCUUUUUAAUCUCAGUUCUCGGAACUUUCUUUUCUUAGUUCUAAUAGCAAAAAGUCUAACCCUUUUACCUUUGCUGGCUACUUUUUUAUAGGCUUCCUCUGAAUCCCGGUCUUCCGUAGUCCACGCCCAUUACUCUUCCCACCCUCGGAUGUGGAUGCCCCAUUGUCGUCAUUGUGGGCGAAUGGAGAUGGACUUCGUGCCUUGAUUCUCGGAUAGGAACGCACGUCUUGCCAACUGUCGUUGACCGGGUCUCCUCGCCUCGACCCCUAGCAGGAAUGGCCUUAUGCCUCUAACAGGAGUUCGUCCUCGUGAAUGGCAUAUUUGUGGACGAGCAGAAUAUUCCUGCUCCUGUUCCCUUGCUACCAGGCUCUUACAGGACAUACCUGUUCGCAGAACUCUGCCACCAAAUAUAUGCUCAUCAUGUCUGGUCUCGUCGAAGUAUUUCCCUCAAACACCGGUCCCCCAGUUUCUGGUGUUGGGUAAUGUAAUGGACCAGCAGUAGAAACUCAACAGUUCUUGCUCGCGUGAGACUUGAAAAGGCUGCCAAGAGUCGUGUCGCAUUUAAUUGCGGAUGCAGUGAUGUGGCAGAAAUCUACCCCUUCGUUUGAAUUUCAAACCUACGGUUGCAAGAUUCUCAGAAUCUGCGUCAUUAAAUGCUGGCAGCCCAAAAGUUUGCUUCUCAGUAAGAAAACCCAAAAUCCUCAAACACGAACUCGUCAUUUUCUCCAUUCCUGUCUCUCCGGCUAAUGAACCUCGGCAUUAAAGCUUUCAUCCCUGUCUCUCUCUGAGCGAGUCCCUGCUUCAGGUAUUUCUUCUAUCUUCACGGUCUCGGUUAGUUGUAGAUAAUUUCUUUUCUCUUUGCUUUGCUUGGGGUAGUAUCUGGUAGUGGUGUUUUGGUUAUAACCUAGGGAAUGUCGAAGGGUAAGGAGAAAGUCGUUGAUAUUGAUGACGACGAACUAGGUUUCUUGCCUAGUCUGCUCACUGAUUCUGCUUUUGGCCCCGGGAUCCCCUUAGAGCCCACUAGGUCUAGUGUUGGGACUAGCGCUAGGAGGAUGUCCCCCCAAACAACCUCCACGAGCGGAAGUAGUGGCGAGGAGGGACCUUCUGGCUCGGAAGACACCCUAAGUGAGGAUCAAUGAGGUGACUCUGGUGAGGGAUCUUCACCGGGAACACUGCGACCAGAAGGGUGUAGUACAGUAGGAGGUAGAGCCUUGUCGCGGGAUUAUGCUAUUGAUUACAUGACCUGCACGACCACAUUCAACGAGCUGGAUGACCUCCGGCUCAGGUAUCAUAUUCCUGGUGAGGUACUCCUUAGGAUCCCAGGAAAGAAAGAUAGUCUUAGCAGGCCUCCUAGGGGAUUUGUCACCUUGUUCUUGGAGAGUUUUAAGUACGGGCUAAGGUGCCCCUUGCAACUCUAUUUUGCUCGCAUACUCCACGGGCUCAAUCUAGCUCCUGGUCAGUUGAACCCCAAUGGGUGGAGGGUGCUCUUUGGUCUGUUCAUAUUGUGGGACAGAUGUUGCCAAAGCGAGCCCACGGUUGAUGAGGUGAAGCACCUGUACCAGCUAAGGAGUAGCCCCAAAGAUGCCGGCUGGUACUACUUCCAAUCUAGUACCAAGAGUAGGAAACCCAUAACUGAUCUUCCAACUGGUGGUGGUGGGACUUGGAAGAGGAAAUUCUUUUUUGCUGGGGGUCCUUGAGGUCAAGUUGCACAAAUAGACGGGAAGGAUUGUCGCGUCCCACCCCGUUUCACGGUCCCAGGUUGCCUGCUCACUUUAGAUGUCUUGUAUCCAUAAUUGUUCUUACUUUAUUGGUUUGUCUCUAACCAAGUGUCUGUUUGUGUUGUAGUUUCUUGGGGUGUUCAUUUUCCGCUCAAACCUGAUCAGCUCAAACGGGUCGAGGCUGUACUAGCCAACUCCUGCCCGAGCCGAGAACUGAUAACUAUUUAUAACUUCCUCGAGUCUCGCUUGGUACUCCCUGGCCAUAAGAUGGAGGACGCUGUGAUUGGGGCUCUGAACAGGAAACGUUCUCGACCUCAAAACACGAAGAGGGACCAGAACAAGGACGCCCCUAGGGCAAAGCGGACCAACAUCGUGCAGCAAGUCUCUCCCUUGAAGACUUUACCUCCUGCUCCUGCCAAAGUCAGCGAAACUAGUGGAGCAGCCACAGAUCCUGCUUCCUCUUCUCCUCCUGUCGGGCCUCGAUCUCGCUUUCCUGACAGCCGAGCAGAACACUUGGUCCCCUAUCUCAAUGAGUUAUCUAAACUCGUGAGCAAGAAGGACCUGGAGGACUUUAAUGGCUGCACCCUGGGCGAGCUGGUAGGAGCCAUGCAGUAUAGUGCUUUCCAUCUCAGCUGCAUGACCACCUAUUAUAAGGCUAAGGUUGGCCGUUAUGACAGGAAGAUGAAGGAGGACAUUCAAUCAGCGAUGACCAGAGCUGACGCCGCCGAGAAGAAAGCAGGAGAGCUAAAUGUCGAGAACCUGAAGCUGAUAGAGCAAGAAUCUCUUGCUCAAGCAAAAGCCAUUACCCUCGAGGAGGAGCUGACCAAGGUCAAGGAGGAUCUUCAAAGGCAGAAGGCAAUGUAUGAGGCUCAGCUCGAAUCUCUCCGCGAUUCCCAUCGAGCUCAGGUCGAGAACUUGGAGAAGGAGGCCGACAACCAGUACGACCAGGGACUUCGGCAUUCCUAUCGUUGCAUCAUGGCCGUCCUCGGGAAGCAGCAUCCUGAUCUAAAGAUGGACGACCUUGCAGCUGGUGUCGCCCAACAUAUGGACGAGGAGGCUGCAAAGGAGGAUGCCGAAGGGGUAGACGCAAUCGUGAUUGAGGAGGAAAACUCUCCUCCUCAUGUAGACCCUGCUGACGUUGGCGAGGCGAGCACCCCCCCGGACGCAACUGGUGAUACCCCCCCUGCACCUGAGGAGGUCCAGCCAACCGAUGCUGCUCGGCAUACUGAUCCGCCAUCUUCUUGAACUUAUCUUGUGCUGUAAUUGCUUUUUGAAUAUUCUAUAUAACAGCUUUGUAAACUUUUAAGAGCUUAAUAAGAUUGUUCUUAUUUGCUUCCUCGCAUUGGUAUUUUAAUUUAUUUAUCUAUUUGGCUUCUGUCCUCGUCACAGAGGAGGCCUUGAAGUUUGACGAGCCUUUGCCUGUCUUGGAUAAUUUCUUCAAUGAUUGGGAUUCUGCUCGCCUUCGCGUGGUCGAGCAGAUCCUGGCACGCUUGGCUUUUGGUCUCGCCAUAAACAGGCUUUGAGACUCGACGAGCCUUUGCAUGCCUUAGUUUCUUCAAGGAUUGGGAUUCUGCUCGCCUUCGUGUGGUCGAGCAGAUCCUGGCACGCUUGGCUUCUGGUCUCGCCAUAAACAGGCUUUGAGACUUGACGAGCCUUUGCAUGCCUUAGUUUCUUCAAGGAUUGGGAUUCUGCUCGCCUUCGCGUGGUCGAACAGAUCCUGGCACGCUUGGCUUCUGGUCUCGCCAUAAACAGGCUUUGAGACUCGACGAGCCUUUGCAUGCCUUAGUUUCUUCAAGGAUUGGGAUUCUGCUCGCCUUCGCGUGGUCGAGCAGAUCCUGGCACGCUUGGCUUCUGGUCUCGCCAUAAACAGGCUUUGAGACUUGACGAGCCUUUGCAUGCCUUAGUUUCUUCAAGGAUUGGGAUUCUGCUCGCCUUCGCGUGGUCGAGCAGAUCCUGGCACGCUUGGCUUCUGGUCUCGCCAUAAACAGGCUUUGAGACUUGACGAGCGUUUACAUGCCUUCAAUUCUUCAAGGAUUGGGAUUCUGCUCGCCUUCGCAUGGUCGAGCAGAUCUUGGCACGCUUGGCUUCUGGUCUCGCCAUAAACAGGCUUUGAGACUUGACGAGCCUUUGCAUGCCUUCAAUUCUUCAAGGAUUGGGAUUCUGCUCACCUUCGCGUGGUCGAGCAGAUCCUGGCACGCUUGGCUUCUGGUCUCGCCAUAAACAGGCUUUGAGACUUGACGAGCCUUUGCAUGCCUUCAAUUCUUCAAGGAUUGGGAUUCUGCUCGCCUUCGCGUGGUCGAGCAGAUCCUGGCACGCUUGGCUUCUGGUCCCGCCAUAAACAAGCUUUGAGACUUGGUGAGCCUUUGCAUGCCUUUGAUAAUUUCUGGAAAGCUUAGGAUUCUGCUCACCUUCUCGUGGUCGAGCAGAUCCUGGCACGCUUGGCUUCUGGUCUCGCCAUAAACAGGCUUUGAGACUUGGUAAGCCUUUGCAUGCCUUUGAUAAUUUCUUGAACAGUGUAGUUGAUUCAAACUCCUCAUUGAUUCAUUUAUUAUUGAAUUCGGCUUACAUGAGGUUGCUUUGAAAUAAGAAAUAAAAAAAUAGAAAACAACAGACAUGAACAGAAAAAAAACUUUAAAACAUGAGUAAGUCUUACUAGAAAUAUUUCCUGAGGUGUGCCGCGCUCUAGGGGCGUUUCACCUCGUGGCCCUCCGUGCGAACCAACUUGUAAACUCUGGGUCCAACUAGCUGCCAUUCCUGGCUUCCACUCGGGUAUCAAAGGAUGUUAUCUGCAUUGCUUCCUUUGUUGCCGAGGAGUAACAGCUUCGUGCGAUUCUCUGGUCUCCUCGUACCACUCCAACUACCCCAUUCACCCGGUACUUGAGAGCCAGAUAAUGGUUGGACAGCACCGCUUUGCUCAUCCUCAGAAAUGGCCGGCCUAGGAUCAUCUGAUAAGGACCUUCCUCAUCCACUACCACAAAGUCCAGUAUCAUUGUCCUUUCUGUCGGGGAGCUCCCAAUCGUGAUAAGUAGCUCGACCACGCCCAGAGGGACCAACUUUCCUCCUCCAAACCCCUUCAAGGAGGUAUUGGUGUAAUCCAACUUCAGGUCUGCUAUUCCCAUUUCCUCCAGGGUUGACUUAAACAACACAUCAACUGAGCUCCCUGUGUCAACCAGUAUCCUGUCAAACUUCUUGCUGGCAACAGUGGCCUUGAUGACCAAAGCAUCCUCGUGGGGGUAUAGAAUCCCUUCUUCAUCCUCAUCUGUCCACAUGAUUGGCACUUGCCUGACUCUUGCACAUUUGGCUGCUGGGGUGUUGAAGAAUACAUCUUUGCUGGUCAUGGCGUAUCUAGCGUAAUUCUUCCUCGACCUGUUGGAAUCUCCGGCCAAUGUUGGGCCCCCAGCUAUCACCCUUAGUGCAGGAUGCUCGCGCCUCAGGUUUCUAUCACUCUGCUCCCCUUCAUAUGUCGAGGCCACCAUCGGGAAAGUCCCAUCUACAAACUCGUCCAGGUACCGAUUUCUCACCAAAUCUUCAACCUGGGUCUUGAGAUCUCUGCAUUCUGCGGUGGUAUGGCCAUGAGUGCCAUGGAACUUACAAUGGCGUCCCCUAUCCCUCCUGCCGGGUAGCUUUGUUAUUGGGGCAGGGAGGUACAGCAGUCCUCGGUCCUUUAUGGCCUCGUAUACUUCAUCUAGGGACAUCUUCAAGGACGUGUAUCGCCCAUACUCCUGGUUCUGGUCGAUCAGGUGCACGGCCCUUUCUCUAUUUGCUCCGUUCUGAGUUGGAGGCGAUGACAGCAUUUCUGGUCUGCUCCCUCUACUACCGUGGGAGUGUUGAUGAAGACCACCAUAUGUCGAAUCAUGCCUUCUCCAAGGCUCCCUAGCUGGGGAACGAGGAGGGUGCGCCCUGCUGCGCUGAUACUGUGGUGGCCUCUGAUGAGGCUGGUGAGCUGUUACCCGACCUCCUGCUCCACUACCUGAGGCCUGGAGGUCCCUCCUCCUGAUCGGCCAAUUUCCCAGUAAUGCCCUCUUUUCUUUCUUUUCCAACCCCUCCAGCUGGUCUGUCUUAAUCCGAGCUGCCUUUUCUUCCUCGAUCUCUAUGUCUCUUUUAGCUUGCUCGUAUGCGGCUGCAUACGUCUGAAUAGCUGGGCUUCUCAAGUUGUACCACAGCCUUCCUAUCUUCACUCCCUCUUUCAAUCCCCUUAGUGCCUGAGGAUGGUCGAAGGCUCCCAAAUCGAGGACAGCACGAUGAAACCUCUUGAUGAAUUCCCGAAGAGUUUCUUGUUCCCCUUGCUUCAUGCUUUUCAACUCCAUCAUGUCAUCUUCUAGUGCCAUUGCCCCACGAAACUGCUCUGCAAACUCCUGGCACAUCUGCUCGAAGGUUUUAAUGCUCCUCCCCCGAGGAAGUUUUCUGUACCACUCUCGUGCACGUCCCUCAAGGGAUAGUGGGAACACCCUGCCUGCACCUUUGGGAUUGAGAUAAUCCUUGUACCCCAAUUAUGUCGUUGAAGCGCUCUAUGUGCACCAGCGGAUCUGUUCGUCCCGAAUAUCUAAGGUCUGGGAGGCGGAAAUCUCUCGGAAUAACUGCCCUCAUGAUCUCUGCUGCGAGCGGUGAUUCUCCAUCUAGCAUUAUCCUCCAACCAGGAGCUCUGCUCCUUCCUUGCAUGUCGUCAAUUAUCUGCGCUAGUCUGCGCACUUCCUCCUCCAGCUGCACUGCACGACCAGGGUCACGUGCUGCAACUUGAUCCCGCUCUUGCUCUACAUCAAGCAAGUGUUGCCUCAACUCUGUUUCCUCUGCAUUUGCCACCCCGUCGUCCUCGUCAAAAAUCUGUCUUGCCGGGAAUUGCUCUUCCUCUCUACGGAAUUCUCCCCGCAGAGGUAUGUUACCUCUCUCACCACCAAAUCUCCCGGUGGUUUGACUUCUCCUCGUACUAUCGGGACCUAGUGCCACUCCACCAACUCUCAUCCUUUCCUCCUGGGUUACCCUUCGUUCACUCCGCAACUCAUGCAGGAUGGUUGUCAGGGUCUCCAUCUGCUUUUCCAUUCGUUCCAUUCGGUCGAACAUGGCUUUUUCCCGUGCUUCACUGGCUAUCUCCCUCAGAGUCACGGAAUCGUUAAGCCUCAUAUCACCCCCUUGUGCACUACUUCCUCCUGUCUCCAUUGCUUUUCACUUGCUUCACUCCUCUUCUUGCUAUCAACAGAAGCUUUUUGAUCAGCUCCCCACAGACGGCGCCAAAAUAUUGAUGCGAGAUUCUGGUUGUCCUCGUUCUACGACCAGGGUCUCUGCUCGAUCAACUUCACCACGACCAGGAUCUCUCCUCGUAAAGCUUCUUCUCCAGAGGUUCCUGCGCACACAGACAGGUCAGAGUACGCCGGUUGUUUUCCCGGCGCAAACCCUCCGACGCUCAAGUCAGAAAUAGGGGUUCUGGGAAUGUUUGCCACUAAUCUUAUGGCUUCUUUUUAAUCUCAGUUCUCGGAACUUUCUUUUCUUAGUUCUAAUAGCAAAAAGUCUAACCCUUUUACCUUCGCUGGCUACCUUUUUAUAGGCUUCCUUUGAAUCCCGGUCUUCCGUAGUCCACGCCCAUUAGUCUUCCCACCCUCGGAUGUGGAUGCCCCAUUGUCGUCAUUGUGGGCGAAUGGAGAUGGACUUCGUGCCUUGAUUCUCGGAUAGGAACGCACGUCUUGCCAACUGUCGUUGACCGGGUCUCCUCGCCUCGACCCCUAGCAGGAAUGGCCUUAUGCCUCUAACAGGAGUUCGUCCUCGUGAAUGGCAUAUUUGUGGACGAGCAGAAUAUUCCUGCUCCUGUUCCCUUGCUACCAGGCUCUUACAGGACAUACCUGUUCGCAGAACUCUGCCACCAAAUAUAUGCUCAUCAUGUCUGGUCUCGUCGAAGUAUUUCCCUCAAACAACACAUAGCAAACAUGACAUUAACUACUUGCAGCAGCAUCAUCCAGAAACUUCACUAUAAUCUUCUUGAGCUUUUCAGCGGCAUCUUUCGUAGAUGCCCUUUGUUUUGGUGACUCCAUGCAAAAAUCCAAUGCCGAAUGCAUGAUGCUUAAUAAACAAUUCAUUUUAUUAGUACAUUGGAUAUAAUCGAAGGCAGAGUAUAUUUCAGGACAAGUAGAGUAGCAUUCUUGGAUCCUUUGCUAUUAUCUUCUUUGCAAGGUGGGACUUGAGGUCCUGGUGGACAACAUACUGCAUAAUUCUAAAAAAAUUAUUGAGCUGAAAUGUUUUUAAAAGGUCUUUUGAUAGAAACUCCCCCUUCUAGCCUAUUGUGAGACACAUUAAGUUGUUUGAGAUAUAAGAGUGCCUCUAUUGACUUUGGAAUUUCUCCAGAGAAAUUGUUGCUUGGGAGAUCCAAAGAUUCCAACCUUAUCAAACUACCAAAUGAUUUGGGGAUUAGACCAUAAAAUUGGUUUCUAGCCAAGCUAGAUCUUUGGGGCCACCAAUAUUUACUGGCAUAUCACCUGAUAAUUGAUUUCUUGAUAAAUCUAACUCUAUUAAGACCCUUAAGUUUUGUAUAUCACUUGAUAAUUGUUUGUAUUGGGCCUUCUAUUUUCAUUAUAGAAUAAAUUAACUAUUAAUUUUCAUGAGAAAAAUACUUAUUUCCAUAAAAUUAUUCAAGCUUUUAAAAAGAUUUAGAAUUAAAAAUCAAACUUUGUACUGUAGAAAAUUUGCCGGUACGUUCAAUUAGUACUUUGUUUGAGGAAAUAAGAUUAGAAUAGGCUAUAGGUACGGUAGUUAUGCGGUACCUGUUUAAUAACCGUAGUAUAGUAAAUGUUUGACUUUUUUAUUAGAAAUAUAUCAUUAACAAUUUUGUUCGCUAAUUGAAUAGAGAAAGAAAGGGGGGGUGGGGGGGGGGGGAGGGCAAAAAGGUUAACACAUUUCGAAACUACAAACGAUUGCCUUUUCCUAUUAAUAAUGUUUGCGGAUUCUAACAAUUGAAUCUCAAGGUCAUUACAUAGUGAAUUUUAUAGUUAAUAAAAUUAAUAUUCCACAUACUAUCUACUCAAUUAAUGUCACAUUUUUUGAAACUUGAAUGAUCUAUUUGCUACAAUUAGGAGCCAACGUCGUAAUGAAUGUUAAAUUAUGCUGUUUGUUUUGAUUUACUUUUCUAUCUUAGCUCCAAGUGAUUAGCGGAAUGCUGGUCUUGUGAGUAUAAAAUGAACUCCUUAAGUCAAAUUCCUUCUGGGGUGUUGGAGAAAGAACUAAAUACAUGUAAUCUUGCUUUCGGAUAUGGAUUAUCUGAUGGAUGUUGUAUUUUCUAGGUAUUGAGGAGAUUCCUCAUUAUUGAAAAAUUACGUUCCCGAGCAUCAAAAGAUGAUCCCAUAGAAUUGCGUUCUCCUGUGACAAAAGAGGAGCUUGUAGCUGAGGUAUCGAUUUUUAUCUUUCUUGAUUGUUCUUUAUAGUUGUUUCUCAUCAAAAUAGAAAAAGCAGUUUGUUCUGAGUGACCUGUGCGGUCUACUAUCAAUCACUGCCAUUUCUAUCAUUUAGUACUAUUGACUGUGUGUAUAGAUAUUUUGUUUUUGCCAUGUAAUUUCAUGUUUGAUACAUUUCUAAUACAUUGCAUAGCGUUCAUGAACGAGAAUGAUAAACUAACUUUCAGGUGUGUUUAAGUAGAUGAAAAAACUUGGUACAAUUUAGAAGGAUUCACUAAUUUUCCAAUUUGUUUGUAUGGAGAAAUUGAAUAGUUAAUUGAUUAGAGGAUUGCAAAGUGGGUAGGUCCAGCUGGGCAUUGUCAAUAUUAACGAUCGAUGUUUUGAGAAGGUCUGGAGCUGACAUCACGGUUGCGUCUGUGGAGAAACAACUUCGUGUCGACGCGUGUCACGGUGUCAAGAUUGUCGCUGAUGCUCUCGUGUCUGACUGCCGCGACGCCGUUUUUGAUCUUAUAGCUCUUCCCGUAUGUAUUGCAGCUCACCUCAGCUCAUGCCAAUUUAUGUGAUGUUUGUAUAAUUAUAGAUGAUUAUUGCUGAUACUGAAUGUUAAGCUAAAUAAUUCGUUCUUAAGUCAUCUUCAUUUAAUUUUCGAUUGAAAAUGAAAAAAAUAAUAAUUGUAAGCAAAGAAAAAUAUCGAAAAUGUUUAUUUUGUUUUAAUUUUAUUUUUUAAUUUUUUGGGAUUUCCUUAUUGUGGCUGUUAUUAUUCAUUAUAUGGUCCUAGUUAAAUAUUUCAAGUUGUUGUAGUUAGUGAAUUUCUUUUCGAUAUUUAUUCUGGCAUGUAUAUUUUUUCUUUUCAAUUUCUUUUGUUGCUGAUUCUUUGAUUAUGUUAUAUCCUUUUUUGUUUCCCUUGUAGGGUGGCGUGCCUGGUGCUACCAAUCUGAAAGAAUCUGAAGUAUUAGAAAGCAUUGUGAAGAAGCAGGCUUCAGAUGGGCGUCUUAAUGCUGUUAUCUGUGCUUCACCUGCUGAGGCAUUAGGGUCUAGGGGUCUGUUGAAGGGAUUGAAGGUAAGAAUUAGAUAAACCUUUUUGAUGUUCUGUGGUCUUUUGGGAAUUGCACUGAUAUUUUUGUUAUAGUUCAGUUUUCUUCUCGCUGAUGAUUGUUAAGUUCUAAUUUAUGUAGUUGUUCAUUUUUCGUAGGCUACUUGUUAUCCGUCAUUUAUGGAGCAAUUAGCUCCUGCUUGUGCAACAACUGUUGAAUCAAGAGUACCACAGGAUGGUAAAGUUGUUACGAGUCGUGGACCCUGCACUACUAUGGAGUUUGCUGUUGCACUUGUUGAGCAGUUGUAUGGGAAAGAGAGAGCUGAUGAGGUUUCUGGGCCACUGGUAGUAACUUUUAUAGAUAAUGUUGUUUAAAAAAAUUGUGAGUUAUAUAAUUUGUUGAAAUUCAUUCUAAUAGGUUCAUCUGGUAUGUCAAAUUGGAAGGUUCAGAUGCUAAUGUAGUCCAAAAAAUUAGUUCAGGGGAAAAGUAUGACUUUUUGCAUUAGAGAUUUAUUAGAUGAAGUUGUAUACCUACUGGCCCAUCUUAAUAUGGUGAAAACGAUGUAAAAUCGGGAGAGGGGGUUCGGGGGAGAGGGGAAGCCCUCUCCAACCGCAAGGCCGUUAUUCUGACAUGAAUAGAGUAAGGCCUUUACUUUUAUAAAGAAAGGUCCCUGUUUUGCACGUCUCCACUGAUCACAUUCUUUUUAAUGUAAGUUCUUUCUCUUGGUAUUUGUCUUUGAUUUUUCUCUUCCUCAUGCUGUCGUCUGUCAAAAGAUUUGGCUGCAGCAUCUAGAAGUUUUGAAGAAGCAAAAUGGGUCACACGGCUUUGAAGUUCUAGAUGCCGUAAUGUUUGGUAAAAGUAAAAAAAAAUUCAAAGCUCAAAAAUUCAAAGUUCGAAAAACUGAAAUUUUUGAGCUGUAUGGCUUGUAAUUUUAUAGCCACUUUUUUGACUUUUAAGGAAAAGUUUUACCUAUAAAUACAAGCUCUCAAUUUAGAGCUUGCAUCCAAUUUUGUAAAGAGAGUCGAGAGCUGUGAAAAGCAAUUCUUGCAGAGCAGAGAGUUUGUAGAGCUUAAAUAAUAAAAGCUGUUGUUUUAAUGAUUUGAGAGUUUGGAUGUAUUGGGGUUUUGGGAAGUGAGCUAAAAUACUACAAUACUUGUAACUCCUUUUCACUAGUAAAAUAUUUUUCUUCUAUCUUCACCCAUGGACGUAGGUUAAAAGCCGAACCACGUAAUUUCCUGGUGUCCUCUUUGUGCUUCUUCUUGAUUUUUUUUUCCCAAUUUUACUUUAGUUGCGGCCCUGCUUCACCCGCCAAUUUCCUAACAGCGGUAUCAGAGCUAUUAGUUGUAUUAUUUGGAGUCGGGUACUAUUCACAUACGGUACUGUUCACAUAUACGGUACUAUUCAUGUAUACGUUACUAUUCACGUGAAACGGUGGGAGCAAUUCUAGUAUUGGCGAUGCAAAGCAGGGGAAUAGUGUGUGUGAGUGGAGUAAUUGUGUGGUUUUGGACAUGUGUAAGAAAGUUCUGUCACAAAGGCGAUAAGAGCCUAAGGAGUUAGGAUUUUAAGUGGGACUAUUGUGACCCCUCCAGUCUUUCCUGGGAACUUUCUUGGUGUGCUCUCACACAUACUCACAACUAUUCAAGCUGGUACACUAGUUUUGUACAAUAUUUAUCAACAAAAUGGUGGCAAAGUAUGAAAUUGAGAAGUUUAACGGAAAUAAUUUUUCGUUGUGGAAAAUGAAGAUGAAAGUUGUAUUGAAGAAAAAUAAUUGAUUGGCAGCAAUUAGAGAAAGGCCCAUGGAGAUAACUGAUGACAAGUGGAACAAGAUAUAUGGCAACGCCAUUUUUGAUCUACACUUGGCACUUACGGAUGAAGUAUUAUUCAGUGUGGCAGAGAAAACUACAGCGAAGGAAAUAUGGGAUACUCUCACAAAAUUGUACGAGACCAGGUCACUACACAACAAAAUCUUCUUAAAGAGGAAGCUCUAUACUCUUCGAAUGACGGAAUCUACAAUGGUGACCGACCACAUCAAUACCUUGAAGACUCUAUUUUCACAACUCACAACGUUAGGUCAUAAUAUAGAGGAAAAUGAACAUGCAGAGCUUCUACUUCAAAGUCUACCAGAUUCGUAUAAUCAACUCAUCAUCAACCUGACGAAUAAUAAUCCAGCGGACAGUUUGGUUUUCGACGAUGUUGCAGCCUCCGUAUUAAAUGAGGAGAGCAGGCGGAAAAAUAAGAAAAAUAGACAAGCAAGUUUGCAGCAAGCGGAGGCGUUAUCGGCGACGAGAGGGAGAUCAACGGAACGUGGCUGGCCCCAGUGGGAGUCACAAUCGUGGUAGAUCAAAAUCCAGAAGUAAGAAGAAUGUUAAAUGCUACAAUUGUGGUAAGAAAGGGCACGUCAAGAAAGAGUGUUAGAGUAACCAGAAGAGAAAAGAUGGCAAAAAACCUGAGUCAUCAAAUGCUCAGGGGUGUGUAGCAAGUACCUCGGAUGAUGACGAAAUUCUCUACAGCGAGGCAACAACUGUUUCAGAAGGUAGAAAAUGACUAUAUGAUGUCUGGCUUAUAGACUCAGGAGCUACCUGACACAUGACCUAUCGUAGAGAAUGGUUCCACACAUAUGAACAUAUCUCAGGAGAAUAUGCAUAUAUAGGUAAUGAUCAUGCCUUGGAGAUCGUUAGUAUUGGUACUAUCAAAAUAAAAAUAUUUGAUGGUACAAUUCGCACAAUUGAGGAGGUACAACAUAUCAGCGGCCUGAAGAAAAAUCUAUUGUCUUUGGGACAAAUGGAUAGUCAUAGGUACAAAACUCAUGUGGAGAAUGGAAUUAUGUAGAUCGUUAAAGGCGCGCUUGUAUUGAUGAAGGCAGAAAAGAUCAGUGCUAAUUUAUUCAUGCUUAAAGGAGAAACACUACAGGAGGCUGAUGUAUGUGUCGCGUCAAAUGGAGAAGAGUCAACGAUGAUGUGGCAUCUCAAACUUGGCCACAUGUCAGAACAAGGCUAGAAGAUUCUCUCUGAGUGAAAAUUGCUUCCAGGGUUCAAAUCGGUAAGUUUACCAUUUUGCGAGCAUUGUGUUAUAAGUAAGCAACAUAGAUUAAAGUUCAGUAGAUCUAUUACUAGAAGUAAAUGCAUUCUAGAAUUGAUUCAUUCUGAUGUUUAGGAAUCGCCGGAUAUGUCCAUGGGAGGUGCAAAGUACAUGGUGACUUUCAUUGAUGAUUAUUGCAGGAGAUGUUGGGUGUAUUCAAUUAAGAAAAAGUCAGAUGUAUUUCCAGUGUUUAAAGAAUACAAAGCGCGGGUGGAACUUGAAUUUGGUAAAAGGAUCGAGUGCUUGGGGACAAAUAAUGGUGGAGAGUAUACAGACGGCGAGUUUCUUGCUUUCUGUAAGCAAAAAGGUAUUUAGAGGUAGUUAAUGGUAGCAUACACUCCUCAACAAAACGGAGUGGCGAAGCGAAUGAACAUAACUCUUACAAAAAGAAUAAUAGCUAUGUUGAGGACUGCUGGUCUACCCAAUUCAUUCUGGGCAGAAGCAGCCAAAACUGCCUGUUAUAUCGUAAAUCGAUUGCCAUCUACAACAAUUGGGCUGAAGACAGCGAUGGAGAUAUGGACUGGAAAGCUAGCUGAUUACUCAUACCUACAUGCAUUUGGAUGUCCUGUGUACGUGAUGUACAAUGCCCAAGAAAGAAUAAAGCUUGAUCUAAAAUCUAGAAGAUGUAUCUUCUUGGGAUAUACUGAUGGAGUAAAGGGGUAUCGUCUGUAGGACCCCACUGCCCACAAGAUCGUCAUCAGCAGAGAUGUUAUUUUUUGUAGAAGAUCAACUACAAAGGAAAGAUAGAGAUGAUGACACUGUAAAAGAAAAGUCAGAGACUGUGCCAGUAUAUGUGGAAAAUAAUCCAGAAGAUUCAGAUUCUUCUGAAGCAACACCAGAGCAUGAAGAAUAAGAAUCAGUCGAGUUCGAGGCUCCAGAAGUUCGUCGGUUAACUCGUGAAAGACGACCGCCAACGUGACACUCGGAGUAUGUCACAGAGAUCAACGUUGCAUACUGUUUUCUAACAGAGGAUGGAGAGCCUUCAACUUUCCAUAAAUCUUUAAACAGCUCAGAUGUUACUUUAUGGAUGACAACAAUGCAGGAAGCAAUUGAGGCUCUACAUAAGAACAAGACAUUGGAGCUUGUACCACUACUACGUGGAAGAAAAGAUAUUGGAAACAAAUAGAUCUACAAGAUCAAAUGUGAUGGUAAUGACCAAGUGGAACGGUAUCAUGCAAGAUUGGUGGUGAAAUGAUAUGCUCAGAAAGAAGGUAUUGACUUCAACGGAAUAUUUUCUCUGGUGGUUUGACUCACAACAGUCAGAAUAGUCUUGGUAAUGUGUGCUACAUUUGACUUACAUCUUGAGCAGUUAGAUGUGAAAAUUGCAUUUCUUCAUGGAGAACUUGAAGAAGAAAUUUAUAUGCUCCAACCAGAAGGUUUUGCUGAAAAGGGAAAGGAGAACUUGGUUUGCAGGUUGAACAAAUCUUUAUACGGUCUCAAACAGGCACCGAUGUGUUGGUAUAAGAGAUUUGAUUCCUUCAUCAUAAGCCUCAGAUACAAUAGACUCAGCUCAGACCAAUGUGCAUAUUAUAAAAGGUUUGAAGAUAAUGAUUUCAUUAUUUUGAUAUUGUAUGUGGAUGACAUGUUGGUAGCAGGCCCCAACAAAGAUCGAGUCCAAGAAUUGAAGGUAUAAUUGAUUAGGGAGUUUGAAAUAAAGGACUUGGGACUAGAAAAUAAGAUUCUAGGGAUGCAAAUUCACCGAGACAGAAAUAACAGGAAGAUUUGGCUUUCUCAGAAGAACUACUUGAAGAAAAUUUUGCGACGCUUCAACAUGCAAGAUUGUAAGUCAAUUUCUACCCCACUUCCUGUUAAUUUCAAAUUAUCCUUAAGUAUGUGUCUGAGCAAUGAAGCAGAGAAGGAGGAGAUGUCUCGAGUACCGCAUGCAUCAGCAGUGGGAAGUUUGAUGUUCGCUAUGAUAUGUACUGGAUCGGACAUUGCACAAGCAGUGGGAGCAGUCAGUCGGUACAUGGCAAAUCCUAGUGGAGAGUAUUGGAUAACUGUGAAGAAGAUUCUGAGAUACAUCAGAGGAACCUCAGAUGUUGCAUUAUGUUAUGGAGGAUCAGAGUUUACUGUCAGGGGUUAUGUGGAUUCAGAUUUUGUAGGAGACUUUGAUAAAAGAAAAUCCACUAUUGGCUAUAUGUUUACACUUGCAGGAGAAGCUGUAAGCUGAGUUUUGAAACUGCAGACCGUUGUGGUUUUAUCUACAACAGAAGCAGAAUACAUGGCAGCUACACAAGCUUGGAAGGAAGCUAUCUGGAUACAAAGGUUAUUGGAGGAGUUCGGGCACAAACAAGAGAAAAUUUUUGUGUAUUGUGACAGUCAGAGUGCCUUGCAUAUUGUAAGAAAUCCAGCAUUUCAUUCAAGGACAAAGCAUGUAGGAGUUCAGUAUCACUUCGUUCAAGAAGUAGUGGAAGACGGAAGUGUGGAUUUACAGAAAAUCCAUACGAAGGAGAACCUAGCAGAUGUUUUGACCAAGCCGAUAAAUACUGAUAAGUUUGUCUGGAGUAGAUUCUCUUGUGGCCUAGCAGAAACGUAGGCAACAUGACAGUGGCGAAGCAGAAACGAUGGUGUGGAGAUUGAUUGAUCCUCAAUCAAAUCUCCAAGUGGGAGAAUGUCAAAAGAUUUGGCUGCAACAUCUAGAAGCUGCAUCUAGAAGUUUUGAAGAAGCAAAAUGGGUGGCACAUGACUUUGAAGUUCUAGAUGCUGUAAUGUUUAGUAAAAGAAAAAGAAAAAAAUUCAAAGCUAAAAAAUUCAAAGUUUGAAAAUCUAAAAUUUUUGACCUGUAUGGCUUGAAAUUUUAUAGCCACGUUUUUUACUUUUGAGGCAAAGUUUUGCCUAUAAAUACAAGCUCUCAAUUUAGAGCUUGCAUCCAAUUUUGUAAAGAAAGUCGAGAGCUGUUAGAAGCAAUUCUUGCAGAGCAGAGAGUUUGUAGAGCUUAAAUAAUAAAAGCUCUUGUUUUAGUGAUUUGAGAGUUUAGGUGUAUUAGGGUUUUGGGAAGUGAGCUAAAAUACUACAAUACUUGUAACUCUUUUUCACUAGUAAAAUAUUUUCCUUCUGUCUUCGCCCGUAGAAGUAGGCUAAAAGCCGAACCACGUAAUUUCCUGGUGUCCUCUUUGUGCUUGUUCUUUAUUUUUUUUCAAUUUUAUUUUAGCUGCGGCCCUGCUUCACCCACCAAUUUUCUAACAUCGUCUUCACUGUCACCCUGUGCCUAGGUAAUGCGUGCAAAUCAUGGGGUUGAAUACACUAUUGCUGAAUUCAAUCCAAUUCAGUGGACAUUUGACAAUUCUCCCCAGGUGAGAUUGGACUUCUAGUUUCUUGUAUUUGUUUUUCUUCAUCCGAUGUUUUCAGGGAUACCUAUUUGGCAGUAUAUAAAAAUCUGUGAUAUCGUCUAUACAUAUACAUAUACAUCAUUGGCUUCAGUCAUUUGUGAACAUAUUGGUGGUAGUAGAUGUAUUUUUAUGAUAUCUCUAAUAAAAUCCUAAGUUUGAUUAAUUACAAAAGAAGUAUGAGCGGUGCUGGACCGGGGGGGAGGGGGGAGGAGUGGGGUGUCGGUGUGUUGGGGGUGUGCAGUGCAUGAAUAAAAGGAAAUGAUAGGGGGUGAAAGUUUGUGCUACCGACAUGCUGUAAAAUGGGGACACAAUAUUUCAAAUUAGAGAUUGUGAGAUCCUUAAUAUUGCUGACUUGUGCUUAAAAUGGAAUUCUUGAUAACUUCAAAUGUUAAAGUUCUUGGUGAAAUUUUGUACUUUCUUUUCUUUCAGAUUCUUGUGCCUAUUGCAAAUGGUUCAGAGGAGAUGGAAGCUGUUAUGAUAAUUGAUAUUCUGCGACGAGCUAAAGCAAAUGUUGCAGUUGCAUCAGUUGAGGAUAAACUAGAAAUUCUGGCUUCGUCAAAUUAAAUUAGUGGUAGAUGUGCUCAUUGAUGAGGCGGCUAAACUUUCGUAUGAUUUAGUUGUCUUGCCAGUGAGUUGGGGUGCUUACUCUUGCUUCAUAGUCUUUACCACAUUAUUGACUUACUAACUACAAUUUAUCCAUGCACAUUGCACAGGGUGGACUUGGUGGCGCUCAAGCAUUUGCGAAGUCAGAUAAAUUGGUGAAUAUGCUAAAGAAGCAAAAGGAAUCAAAUAGACCUUACGAUGCUAUAUGUGCAUCCCCAGCUUUAGUGUUGGAGCCCCGUGGCUUACUCAAGGUACGACCAUUUCUGCUUAAAUUAUUUACUCAGAUUUGGAUCACCUAAUCUGAACUUGAUGAGAGAUUAUGAUGUUGUAUGAUUUUAUGAAUGUGGUCUUAUCUCAUGUAAGUCAGUGAUGAAUUAAUUGGAGUUUGUUGACAAAUUAGAAGCUGAAAAACUGCUGCUGCUUCGUUAGUUACAUUACCCAAAGAGUUAAAAUUAACAUCACAAAUUUGUUAUCCCAAAUGAUAUGGCAUUUAUUGAGUGAUUGGUAUUAAUUGUAUUAUCUAACCCACCAACAGAUGAAUGCCGCACCAUUUGAGACGAUCUUUUGGGAUAAAAAAUUUGGGAAGUGCAGCAAAUUUUUAUGCCGAUUUUUUUUGGCUUCAUUCAUGUAAACUCCUCCCCCCCCCCCCCCAAAAAAAAAGGAAAACCAGCAAACACCAAAAAAAAAAAAUUCUGAAGUACUUCCCUUAAUAUCAUUCCUGUGUAUUUCUUUUCCCCUCAAGACAUAUUUAACUUUGGUUCAGGGUAAAAAAGCUACAGCUUUUCCUGCCAUGUGCAACAAGCUGUCAGAUCAGAGUGAAAUCGAAAACAGAGUUGUGGUUGAUGGCAACCUCAUCACCAGUAGAGGGCCAGGAACUUCAAUGGAGUUUGCACUGGCAGUUGUGGAGAAGUUUUUUGGCCGCAACAAGGCACUUGAGCUUGCAAAGAUAAUGCUUUUCACUCGCGCCUAACGUUUGUACCGGGACCUGACUACUAUUAAACUAGUGUGUUUAUUUCUGUAUUACUACUGCUUGUAGAGAGGGGAAACGGAAACUUGAAUUCAUGUUUGAAUAUGGAUUCACUGUGUCGGUUUGUACAGCAGUUUGGUUUAUAAAUAAAUGAGUUCAUAGAGUCAUUUCAAAUAUUUGGAAUAAACCUGAGUUUAGUUCUGUUAUCAAUGGUCGGAGUCCAAUUGCGAUCGACUCACUGGGAAUUUUAAUUAUG
rnacentral:lncRNA from 1 species